UCUACCUAAUUUUUCUUGAGUACGGUUUGGGGGUUCUAGGUAGCCUUGCACCAAUGGCGACAACUUUGAAGUCCUCCAUCAUCUUCUCUGCUAGUGUAUUCAUGCUCCUUUCCAUGGCCAUAACCGCUAAGGACAAUGUCUCUAGCGGUGCAAGGGCCAAGGUGACCAACCUCAUGAUGCAAGCAUGCAAGACUGCAUCAGCCUACAGUCGUGAUGGCGACCUCCGUAACGUCACACAGGAAUUUUGCUUAUCGACCCUGGAAUCAAACGAUAGGAGUGUUGAUGCUAAGGACCACCUUGAACUGGUGCUCAUCAUGAUUGACAUCCUUAAAGGCCGCCUCACUACUGCAACUCGCAAUGUCGAGAAAAUGCUAGAAAAUUCUAAGAAAGGCACAAUGACUGCACGCGACCUUAGUUUAUGCAAUGAGCACUAUGAUACCACAGUGAAAAUCAUCAACAUGUGUGAUGCCAUGGUCAUGGACUAUCGCUCGGACAAGGGCGGGAUAAAGCCCUCUCAGCUUCCUCGUUGUGUUGAUAGAGCGGGCUUCCGCGUCGAGGAUUGUAGGAUCAUUAUGCUCAUAGAUAUGCCAUGGGCGGAUUCCUUGAUAAAAGAAAAUGUUGAAAUGACCAUGCUGGUCAACCUCAACUAUGCCUUGCUAGCACCAUAUGAUGGUAAUGCUUAAUAGAGUGCUUGUUUUGUAUGUGACAAAUGACAUUGUAGCGACAUCAAUGUUAGUUUCAUUUUGAAUAAUAACAGUUUUGUUGUCACCUUUGUUUUAUUCUCUAGUUUGACAUCACUGCGCCAUAUGUUUAUGUCCCGUAUAUUUUGUUUUACGUCGCAAGUCAAACAAGAGCAUAAGAAAUAUAUAUUGACUGUAUAAAAUAUUUAAUGUACAUAAAAUUACAAAAUAAAAAAUAGUGUAAAACAUGGGUAAAAAUGUAAUUAUUUAGGUCUUACUAGUUAUACUUUGAUUUUUUCUGUAAAAUUUUGCUAAUGAAUCAAUAUGAACAUUUUAUUUAAGAAAAUGAUGGAAAAAUACCCCGGGGGAUGAAAAUUAACAUAUUCUGCUCACUGGGUGGUGAAUAGAAUUCGUUGAUAUCAACGAUAUAUUUAUGGAAUGUAUAACUUGAGCGUUCUACAAGAGAUACUGCUAACAACUAUGUGGAUGUUUCAAAAUGAUUGGGGCUUGUUUGUCUUUUCUACCCACAGAAAUGUUACGACAAUUCCACCGUUCCAAUACUAGAGAUACCCACCGAUAAAGGUGGUGUUGCACAAUAAUGAACUUAGAAAUUGUUAUUUUGAAAUCAGUAUAUUGAUAUUUUUCAAAAAGUGGACUAACGGGUUGUACAUUAAUUGAGAAAUUAUUUUGAAGUUUUGGCCUANNNNNNNNNNNNNNNNNNNNNNNNNNNNNNNNNNNNNNNNNNNNNNNNNNNNNNNNNNNNNNNNNNNNNNNNNNNNNNNNNNNNNNNNNNNNNNNNNNNNNNNNNNNNNNNNNNNNNNNNNNNNNNNNNNNNNNNNNNNNNNNGGCACGCCGACCCUAGACGAGGUGCCCUGCUGUCGACAGGUGGACGCCUGGGCGCGGACCUGAGAUCUGGCAGUGAUGUGGCAGCAGUUGUGGUUGUAUGGGCAGCACAAUGGUUAGAUCUGGUGGCGCAUGAUGGCUUGUUAGCCUUGGUGGCUUCAUGGCGAAGAGCUGGCAUGAUGGUCAUGGUACGCAGAGUUAAUUGCAAGGAACUACCAUACUUUGGCACGUCGUAAUGAAUCAGUACCAUUAAUCACUUUGUUUUGCAGCUCAGUACCAACUCUAAGCCUAAGUGUUGCAAAAUGGUCUGACAGCCGUAUAAGCACGUAUUGACCAUGUAUCUGACCGACCGGGCCCACGUGUCAGGUGCCACGGUGGCGUACCCGCACCCACCCAACUCGGUCGAUGUAUCUGGCUCGAGGCUGGUCAAACCAGAGGCAGCCGCCGCACUCUGUCCCUCUCCUCUGUUCGCCCCUCGCCCUCUUCUCUCCUAUCCGCCGCCGCUCGCGGCGUAGUCCACCGCAUCCCCCAUCGCCGUCGUGCCAUGUUCUUCAAGGAUGAGAGCAGCGACGACUGAUCCAGCCUGCACAUCUCCUCCUCCGACGAUGGCAAGCAGUAUCAGGUCAGUAGUAGAGCUAGAGUUAGGGUUAGGGUUUCUAAAUUGGGGAUUUGGUGAUCUACUUUUUUGAUUUGGCUAUUUUGGUUCUUUUUGCUCCUGUAGAUUCCUGCUAGCAUUGAAGACCAAGACUACAAUGGCUUGAAGAAGGCACCCGAGGGGCUCUGCGUGGAGCAUCGGCUGACAACUGAGCGCCAUGUAGCUUUUGAAGGAUUUGAGAUGGGCAGGAGGUUUCUAGUUUGUCCUCAGCCUGUAAGAAUCAUGCACAUAUUUUGUUCUCUGUAAUAUAGUUGGUAGGCUCUGUUUAGUAAGUUAGUACUACCACUGGUGGAAAAACAGGCUUCCGUCCAGCCCCAUAAGUCGCGAAGCUGUAGGAACCGCGACUAAUGGGACCUUUAGUCGCGGUUCUGGAGGUGAACCGCGACCAAAGGCCUGGGCCCAGGGCGCUCGGUGGCCAGCUGGCGCACGUGAGGGUCUUUAGUCGCGGUUGGCGAGGACAACCGCGACUAAAGGCCUUCGGGCACCUUUAGUCACGGUUUGCCAGGCCAACCGCAACUAAAGCCCCUCCCCUAUAUAUACCCAUCCAGCAGCCAACACUUAGCCAUUUGGAGCCAUUCUCUUCACAAGUGGGUGUAGGUUUGCUUUUGGUUCCUCUUAUGCACAUAAGGUGUUUGAUGAAAUGCCCCAAGAGCAUGAAACAAACAUGACAUGAAGUGUUGGAGCCACACUCCUCGAUCGCGGUUAGCAACUUGAUGAACCUUUGAUGUGUCAUUGAUAAAAUAUGCAUGUGUGCAGUUCAUUGUUUAAUUUAUAUUGUUUGUAGCUAGUUAGUUUAACAAAUGCAUGAUGGUUAAUUAUAUAUUUUAUAUUAUAAUAAUGCAGAUGAAUCGGCAAUGGAUGUACGGUAACCGACUCUCCGGCGAGUUCACUACGGGUUUGAAAGAUUUCCUCGUAGUGGCUAAUGCGAACAAGCAGGGGGGUUUUGUUAUCUGUCCAUGUGUUAUCUGUAGGAAUCAGAAGGGUUACUCUUCCUCAAGAGAUGUUCACAUGCAUCUGCUUCGGCACGGUUUCAUGCCAAGCUAUAAUUGUUGGACCAAGCAUGGAGAAAGAGGGGUUAUAAUGGAAGAAGAUGAAGAAGGGGAUGAUUUCAUCGAUGAAAGCUAUCUUGCUCAUUUCGGUGAUACUUUCAUGGAGGAUGCUGAAGGUGAAGGGGAAGGUGAAGAAGAGGCACGUGAUGAUCCCGUUGAUGAUCUUGGUCGGACCAUUGCUGAUGCACGGAGACGCUGCGAAACUGAAAAGGAGAGGGAGAAUUUGGAUCGCAUGUUAGAGGAUCACAGAAAGGCGCUGUACCCCGGAUGCGAUGAUGGUCUGAAAAAGCUGGGCUGCACACUGGAUUUGCUGAAAUGGAAGGCAGAGGCAGGUGUAGCUGACUCGGCAUUUGAAAACUUGCUGAAAAUGUUGAUGAAUAUGUUUCCAAAGGAUAACGAGUUGCCCGCCAGUACGUACGAAGCAAAGAAGGUUGUCUGCCCUCUAGGUUUAGAGGUUCUGAAGAUACAUGCAUGCAUCAACGACUGCAUCCUCUACCGCGGUGAAUACGAGAAUUUGAAUGAAUGCCCGGUAUGCACUGCAUUGCGUUAUAAGAUCAGAGGCGAUGACCCUGGUGACGAUGUUGAGGGCCAGAAACCCAGGAAGAGGGUUCCCGCCAAGGUGAUGUGGUAUGCUCCUAUAAUACCACGGUUGAAACGUCUGUUCAGGAACAAAGAGCAUGCCAAGUUGUUGCGAUGGCACAAAGAGGACCGUAAGUCGGACGGGGAGUUGAGACACACCGCAGAUGGAACGCAAUGGAGAAAGAUCGACAGAUGGUUCAAAGAUUUUGCAGCUGACGCAAGGAACAUAAGAUUUGCUCUAAGUACGGAUGGCAUGAAUCCUUUUGGCGAGCAGAGCUCCAGCCAUAGCACCUGGCCCGUGACUCUAUGCAUCUACAACCUUCCUCCUUGGUUGUGCAUGAAGCGGAAGUUCAUUAUGAUGCCAGUGCUCAUCCAAGGUCCGAAGCAACCCGGCAACGACAUCGAAGUGUACCUAAGGCCAUUAGUUGAUGAACUUUUACAGCUGUGGGGUGGUGUCCGUGUGUGGGAUGAGCACAAACAAGAGGAAUUUGACCUACGAGCGUUGCUUUUCGUAACCAUCAACGAUUGGCCUGCUCUUAGUAACCUUUCGGGACUGUCAAAUAAGGGAUACAAUGCAUGCACGCACUGCUUACAUGAGACUGAAAGUGUACAUUUGCCAAAUUGUAAGAAGAACGUGUACCUUGGGCAUCGUCGAUUUCUUCCGAAAAUUCAUCCAGUAAGAAAGAAGGGCAAGCAUUACAACGGCAAGGCAGAUCACCGGCCGAAGCCUGCGGAACGCACUGGUGCUGAGGUAUUUGAUAUGGUCAAGGAUUUGAAAGUCAUCUUUGGAAAGGGUCCUGGCGGACAAUCAGUUCCGAAGGGAGCUGACGGGCACGUAGCCAUGUGGAAGAAGAAAUCUAUAUUCUGGGAGCUAGAAUAUUGGAAAGUCCUAGAUGUCCGCUCUGCAAUCGACGUGAUGCACGUUACGAAGAAUAUUUGCGUGAACCUCCUAAGCUUCUUGGGCGUGUAUGGGAAGACAAAUGAUACAAAGGAAGCAUGGCAGGACCAGCAACGUUUGAAAGACCCUGAUGACCGGCAUCCGGAAUGGUUUCAAGGUCGUGCCAGCUACGCUCUGACCAAAGAAGAGAAGGUCAUCUUUUUUGAAUGCCUGAGCAGUAUGAAGGUCCCGUCUGGAUUCUCGUCCAAUAUAAAGGGAAUAAUAAACAUGGCGGAGAAAAAGUUCCAAAACCUGAAGUCUCACGACUGCCACGUGAUUAUGACGCAAUUGCUUCCGAUUGCUUUGAGGGGGCUCCUGCCGGAAAAUGUUCGAGUAGCCAUUGUGAAGCUAUGUGCAUUCCUCAAUGCAAUCUCUCAGAAGGUAAUCAAUCCAGAAGUUCUACCACGGUUACAGAACGAUGUGAUCCAAUGCCUUGUCAGUUUCGAGUUGGUGUUCCCGCCAUCCUUCUUCAAUAUUAUGACGCAUCUCCUGGUUCACCUAGUCGAAGAGAUUUUCGUUCUCGGUCCUGUAUUUCUACACAAUAUGUUCCCCUUCGAGAGGUUCAUGGGAGUAUUAAAGAAAUAUGUUUGUAACCGUGCUAGGCCAGAAGGAAGCAUCGCCAAGGGCUAUGGAAAUGAGGAGGUAAUUGAGUUUUGUGUUGACUUUGUUCCUGACCUUAAGCCGAUUGGUCUUCCUCGAUCGCGGCACGAGGGGAGACUAAGUGGAAAAGGCACGAUCGGAAGGAAAUCAACGAUAUGUAUGGACGGCCAUUCUCUGACUGAAGCACACCACACUGUACUGACCAAUUCCAGCUUGGUGGCUCCGUACUUUGAGAAACACAAGAAUAUUUUACGCUCGGACAACCCGGGGAAGCCUGAAUCCUGGAUUAGGAAGGCCCACAUGGAGACUUUCGGCAGUUGGUUGAGAAAACAUUUAAUGAAAAAGGAAAAAGGAAGAAAAAAAAGAAAAAGGAAGAAAACAACAGAAGAAAAAAAGGAAGAAGAAAAAAAAGGAAGAAGAAAAAAAGAAAGAAUUUUUAAAAUUAAAUACGUGAAAAUACGUGAAAGAAUUUUUUGUGUCUAAUAAAAUCAAUUUUUUGAAAUACACGAAUAAUUUUUAAACGGAGAGGGGCGGCGAGGGGGGCGGCGAUGCGCGCGGUGUUUUUUUAGGGAUCGAGAGGGGACGGCGAGGGUUAUAAAUGUGUUGUCCUCGCCUCCCCUCUCGCGCUCUACCGCGACACCCUCUCCCACCCCUUCAUCGCCCCCUCCUUUCGCCACCGCCCUUUCGCCACCGCCACCGCCACCGCCCCCCUUCUUCACUUAAUGAAUUUGUUUUUACUACAUGUUUUCAGGACUGACAUAAUGGCGGACGAUAGAGCUGACCCGAUUAUGGACAACUAUGAUCCGGACGGUGAAGCACAUAUGUUCGGCAUCAUAAACGGCGAUAUUCUAUAUGUGCCGACCGGAGAAGAAGAAGAUGAUAUCUCUUCUUAUCUGAACCUUGACGGUGAAGAUGAAGGGCGCCGUCAGCAAGAUGAUGCCGAACAAACGUCGAUAAACGACGAUCUUCAAAUGGAAGUAGCAACCACCUCCGGCGCCGAGGUAUAUAUAUACAUUGAGCCUCUGGUGAUACAAACUAACUGAUUUGAAUAAAUAUGUGUGUACUAACGCGCGCGACUCUUUCUUAUUUUAGCCCUCGGCCGGAUCGUCGAAACAAUCGAGUACGUCGUCAAAGCGUGGCGCAACCAAGACGAUGAAACAAGGAGAAACAUGCACCAUCGAGGUUGUCGACAGUGCAACCGGCAGGCCGCUGGAGCCCCACAAGAACGCCACCAAGUUUGUCAGCCAAUGCGGAGCCAUUGUUAGAGACAACGUCUCGAUCACCGUCCAGGAGUGGAAUGAGCCAAAGAAGGCACGAAUUGAUGGUUUCACUUUUGUCGAUAAGAGAACAAAAAAAGAUUGCUUCAAGAAGCUUAUGGAACAUUUCGUUCUACCUCCGGAAUACAACAAAUUCGAUGAGGAGGGUAACAAGAUUGAGGAAAACAAGGAGAGGAGGAGGCUAGUCAAACAGUUCGCUCUUCAUAAGAUGGCCGACGCAUUCCGGAAAUUCAAGCAAAAUCUAGUCCAUGACUUUGUCAAGCAGAACAAGACUCCGGAUUUCAAAGGACAAUAUGAGAAACUGAAACAUGAUUGGCCAGAAUUUGUGAAGCAAAAGAAAUCGGAGCAGUUCAUUCAAAUAUCAAAAAAAAAUAAGGAAAAUGCGGCUAAGAAGGAGUACAAUCAUGUUAUGGGGCCAGGAGGGUAUCGCAUUUGGGUGCCUAGGUUGGAGAAGAUGGAGAACGAGCUGACGGCGCAAGGAAUCCGUCCAGGUACGGAGGGAUGGGACCCAAGGGCCAAAAGCUGGUGGUACGGGCAUGGGGGAACGCUGAACCCGGAGACAGGGGAGUGUGUUUACCGGGGCAAAUUACUGCACCGGAGCCUCUGGUGGUCGAAAUUACUUCACCGGAGCCUCCUCGCUACCCCGUGGACGAUAUAAAGGAGAUGAAAGAAUGUCAUCUGUAUUAUCCUAUCAGACGCCGCCCCCCAAUCCACCUCCGGCAAAGAAGCAGAAGCAGUCCUGGAUUAUUAACCCGGACCCUUAUGUACCUAAGACCACAAAGGUACCGGAGCCAUCACUGAAGCCUCUCCCCACAAGGCCUUGGGAACGUAGUGCCGAGGAAGUCGACGCGGCCGCGGCUGCUGAUUUGGAGAAAUGGAAGGCGGACUGCAAGAAGAAAAGAGAGCCCGAGCCCAAGCCAGUAUUUUCUGAUGAGCAAAAGAAGUGGGCUAAGUCAUUUUUGAGAACACCGUCCCAAGCCGCGAAGAAUCUGCCUAACGACUAUGCACGUGAACUUCGCAGGCAGGCACUCAUGUUCAAGGAGAACAAAGAGCGGGAGAAGGCCGAAAGUAAAAAAGCGGGAAACAAGUUGCCCAGCUCGGGGAACAAAGUAAACAAUCGAUUGCCCCGCUUAUAGUGGAAGCCUUCUGUCCGGAUGCCCCCGAGAUCAUACAAGCUGCGGCAGCACAGGGAUUGACUGUAACGAGUGCCAGAGAACAAGCGGCCAACUUAGGUAUUACUCUUCGUGAACUGUUAGGCCUUGAUGAGGCGCCAGUGAAGGAGGUAGUAAUUACAUAUGUCAAGAAUGGGCCUCUCGUCGAGCCUGCGCAGGAAAAGGAUCUACCUCCACAAAUGAAAGGUCUGCUGAAAUGGUACAAGGGUUACAUAAAAAAUAAAAACGCCAAAGAAUAUAUUUAUGCGGAAGUUAGACAUGAGCAUCACUUCAAGCAUUACUAUGUACAAAUUGAACUGAGUGAAUUGUUCCAGCUUUUCAAUCUGCGCGAGCUCGACAAAUCUAUCAUUAGUUGCUACGUUCUGUAAGUGAUUUAUUUCUACCCCAUCUCGUUCAUAUUUCCUGCACUAUAUAUAUGUCCUAACUAUAUUGUUGUGUCCGCUAUUAUACAUGCAGAAUGAAGAUUAAGGAAUGCAGAGUAAGGAACAUCCAUGAUGUUGGGUUCAUUGACCCACACAUCGUUAAUGGAUAUGUGUUGGAGCAUCACCCCGCCGACAUGGAGGCAGACCUGUGGCAGUUUCUUACAAAGCAGGAACUCAAAAGUGAUAUUCUAUUUCCUUACCAUUUUGGGUGAGUGUUUCUGUCUUGAGCACAUUCUCUUUUGUUUACUCCAUGCAUGGUAUGUGGCCGGCUAAUCGAUGAGUUAUGCAUGACGUACUGUGCAUGUAUCGUGUCCGCAGGUUCCACUGGAUUCUGCUAGUAAUUAAAGUUAACACCUCAGAAUGUCUCGUCCACGACUCUGUGAAUAUGGAUCCAAAGCUUUGGGGCGACAUGAGAAGAAUGCUGCAGAAGUAAUUAUUUUCAUUCAUUUGCGCUCUAUAUCGAUCGGCCUAUUUCGUUCAUUUCCUAAUAUCAAGUAACUAAUAACUCUCUUGUUCAUUUAAUUUUCUUUGCCUCGUAGGGUUUGGAGACGGUUCAUAGAUACAAAGGUCGGUGAAUUCAAAAAAGAGCUAGAAUUCAAAAGGCCAAAGGCUAAGAAUGCUGGGGAUAUUCAGCCACCGGAGACCAAUCUAUGUGGAUACUAUGUCUGUGAGAUGAUCCGGAGAUACACCUCUGAGCGGGUUCCGAGUGAUACCAAUGCUCAGAGGAAUAACCUCCGGUGGAUGCUUAGUCCAGAAGCUCGCUUCCGACCACUUCAAGAGGAACUAGCUGGAUGGUUCAGCAGGGAAGUCCUCCAUCCUAAAGGAGAACACUAUUACGAGGACGUAGAACUUUAUAUGCAUUAAAUCAUGUAUGGAAACUUGUUCAAAAUUGUAUAUGGUCAUCCGAUGAUAUUGAAUAUAUAUUGUAUAUUCCUCUUGAAUUCUUUUUGGUUCUAAUUUCAAAUUUAUUUGAAAUUGUACAUUCAUAUGCAUGUAUGUAGUACCGUAGAAUAUAUGAAACUCCUUCAAAAUUAAAAUAAAGCACAAAAGAAAUAAAACAAUACAAAUUAAACAGAAAACAGGUUUAGGGGGGGGGGCUAAAACCCUAAACCUGUGGCGGCCUUUAGUCGCGGUUGGCCAGAAGAACCGUGACUAAAGGUCCUCCGCCCCAACGGCCGCCUGGCGCCCACGUGGACGGGCCUUUAGUCGCGGUUCUUAAGGAGCCGCGACUAAAGGUGGGGGGCUUUAGUCGCGCUUAUUUGGUCGCGGUUGCGCAACCGCGACUAAUGGCAGUUGCGAACCGCGACCAAAGGCCUUUUUUCCACCAGUGUACUGAUGAUGACGCUCAUUGUUUACCAUUUAGUAGGGGGGCGUGAGAGCCUUGCUGGAGCGGCACGCCGGCCCUAGACGAGGUGCCCUGCUGUCGACAGGUGGACGCCUGGGCGCGGACCUGAGAUCUGGCAGUGAUGUGGCAGCAGUUGUGGUUGUAUGGGCAGCACAAUGGUUAGAUCUGGUGGCGCAUGAUGGCUUGUUAGCCUUGGUGGCUUCAUGGCGAAGAGCGGGCAUGGUGGUCAUGGUACGCAGAGUUAAUUGCAAGGAACUACCACACUUUGGCACGUCGUAAUGAAUCAGUACCAUUAGUCACUUUGUUUUGCAACUCAGUACCAACUCUAAGCCUAAGUAUUGCAAAAUGGUCUGACAGCCGUAUAAGCACGUAUUGACCAUGUAUCUGACCGACCGGGCCCACGUGUCAGGUGCCACGGUGGUGUACCCGCACCCACCCGACUCGGUCGAUGUAUCUGGCUCGAGGCUGGUCAAACCAGAGGCAGCCGCCGCACUCUGUCCGUCUCCUCUGUUCGCCGCUCGCCCUCUUCUCUCCCAUCCGCCGCCGCUCGCGGCGUAGUCCACCGCAUCCCCCACCGCCGUCGUGCCAUGUUCUUCGAGGAUGAGAGCAGCGACGACUGAUCCAGCCUUCACAUCUCCUCCUCCGACGAUGGCAAGCAGUAUCAGGUCAGUAGUAGAGCUAGAGUUAGGGUUAGGGUUUCUAAAUUGGGGAUUUGGUGAUCUAGUUUUUUGAUUUGGCUAUUUUGGUUCUUUUUGCUCCUGUAGAUUCCUGCUAGCAUUGAAGACCAAGACUACAAUGGCUUGAAGAAGGCACCCGAGGGGCUCUGCGUGGAGCAUCGGCUGACAACUGAGCGCCAUGUAGCUUUUGAAGGAUUUGAGAUGGGCAGGAGGUUUCUCUAGUUUGUCCUCAGCCUGUAAGAAUCAUGCACAUAUUUUGUUCUCUGUAAUAUAGUUGGUAGGCUCUGUUUAGUAAGUUAGUACUACUGAUGAUGACGCUCAUUGUUUACCAUUUAGUAGUUUUGAUGCUCACCUUUGUUAAACAUGCCACCUGAUGUCAGUAAUAUAUAUGGGCAGAAGCUUACUUGGUAGUGGAGAUGCUCAUAGUUUAGUUAUAGAUUAGUACUGAUGCUCACUUCAACAUUUUGUGUAGGCAUGUGCUCAUGUAUAUUUCUAUGUAGUUAAAUUGGCCACUAUUUUGGAGUAUUAUAUUUGUCCAGCUGCUUAGUUAGGAGUGGAGAUGCUCAUUGUUUAAGUGAGGCAAACAGUGAUUAUUUAAUAGAGUAGAAGCUCAAAGUUGAGUGCCGUAUAGCUGCUUGUCUAUAUUUUAUAUUGCAUGACAAUUUGUCCUAGAUAUAGGUUGCAUUAGAAUUAGCAUUGUUUAGUUGUCCACAUGCAUAGGUUGUAGUUGUUAUGCUGUUAGCUUAUUUUUUUUAAAUGCCCUUUUAUAAUUGGAAUUCUUCAGAGAGUAAAAAUUUAAGUGUUUGCUAUAUUGCAGCAAGGUCAGAAUUGUGGUUUUCUUGGGUGGGUUGACCCAGAGUAGCCUCCCACAAUGCAAAAUGCAUUAUUGAAGGUUUGGGAAAUGUUUGAAGACAGCAGGAUUGCUACGAGGAAGGAUAACCUCGAUAGUUUACUUAUUAUUCACCACCUUAAAGAAGAGAAAAGGAAUCUGGAUGCCAACUAUGACAAACUAGUUGAAGUUGUUCAUCAACUUCUCGAUGCCUAGGAGGACAACGUGCUUGCUUUCAGCUAUGUGCAGGCUAAGGAGAAUAGAGGUGAGGUUACCUGUGCAUCAGCCGUGGCUGGCAUGAAGACUGAGAUGGAGAAGAAAGAGGCAGAGAACUUGAAGCUGCAAGAGAAGUAUGUAGUGCUGAUGAACCUGGUAGAAGCUCAAGGCAGUGUCAUUAGGAACCUAAAGAUGAAUCAUUUGAAAGAGAAGGAAAUGCUAAGUGAAGGCAACAUCAAUUUCAAGGUUCAGGUUGAUGAGCUCACCAAGACUGUGAAAAAAGUCGCUGAAGACAAUGUGCAGCUGAACCAUCAUAUGUCUCAUCUCAAGAAGGGAGAUGCUAAUCUCAUAAAACGCAGGGAUGAGCUCAAGCUCUAGGUUGUUGUUCAUUUGAAGGCACUCGAGAAGAACAAAGAGAAGUUGAAGUUGAUCCAUGACAUCUUGAAGGAAUGAGGUAGACGAAGAUGAAGAUGAACUGGGUAGAUGAAGCAGAGUAUACCUAUCUUGAUAUGUGUUGCUUUGGUAGAAGGCUUUGCUAAGCUUUUGUGAAGAAUAGUGGUUUAAAGAAGUGUAAUGUAUGGAUGUAGUAGUUGUGAACUAUGUUGAACUCCACUAUGCUAUGGUCUUUAGCUAAUGUUGUAUGAAUCUAUUAAUUAUGGCUGUAUGAAUCUAUGGUUAUGUUCAAGUAUAUUUUGUUAGAUGGCUCACGUUAUACUUAUGAUGGUAUAUGUUGCUUUGAUAGAUGGAUGAUAGAUAAUGGUUGAUGGUUGAAUUUAUAUAUAUCUUGAUAGAUGUUGCUUUCAUGGUUAGGGUUUUGUGGUUAGGGUUCCGUCAACGCCGAGCCACCCUAAACCAGACAAGUUGGGUGGUUAGGGUUCCCUCGACGCCGAGCCACCCUAAACCAGACAAAUUGGGUGGUUAGGGUUCCAUCGACGCUGAGCCACCCUAAACCAGACAAGUUGGUUGGUUAGGGUUCCCUCGACGCCGAGCCACCCUAAACCAAACAAAUUGGGUGGUUAGGGUUCGCUCGACGUUGAGCCACCCUAAACCAGACAAGUUGGGUGGUUAUGGUUCGCUCGACGCCGAGCCACCCUACACAAGACAAAUUGGGUGGUUAGGGUUCCCUCGACAUCGAGCCACCCUAAACCAGAAAAAUUGGUUUGUUAGGGUUCCCUCGAUGCCGAGCCACCCUAAACCAGACAAAUUAGGUUGUUAGGGUUCCCUCAAAGCAGAGCCACCCUAAACCAGACCAGUUGGGUGGUUAGGGUUCCCUCGACGACGAGCCACCCCAAACCAGACAAAUUGGGUUUUUAGGGUACACUCGGCGCAGAGCCACCCUAAACCAGACAACUUGGGUUGUUAGGGUUCCCUCUAUGCCGAGCCAUCCUAAACCGGUCAAAUUGGGUGGUUAUGGUUCCCUCGACGCCGAGCCACCCUAAACCAAAGAACUAUCAUAUAAAGCUAUAAACAAACGAAUACCUUAUGAAGCUAUAAACAAACAAAUAUCUUAUGACGCUAUAGACAAACAAAUAUCAUAUGAAACAAGAAACAAACAAAUAUCAUAUGCAACUAGGCACAGACAAAUAUCAUAUGCUAGUGUCAAACUUAGUACACAUUAAACAUUGCUCAUAUGAGACUUAGUACACAUCAGACCCAACUUAGUACUCCAUCAGAACAUACAUAGUUCAGAAGCACAAAUAACUUAGUUCAGAAGCAAAACCCAUAGGCAUAUAUAUUCUAGUACACAUGAGAUCAAACUUGCAACAUUCAUUGUUCAGAAUCAUAAAUUGCACCAUUCUGUCACUCAAGGGUUACCACUAGCAUUAAAGAAUGCCAUCCAGCCAGAAUGACUCCCUGGGACACUAGAAGGAGGAGCACCAGAAGUAGAAGGACCAGAAGAUGAAGCUCCAGCCCCAAAUCUUGCACUACAGGAAACAAGUAAUUUGCCGUCUGUGGAUCACAGACGGCAAAGACCUAAAUCCAGACGGCAAAGACUUUGCCGUCAGGAAGCAGACGUCAAACUCAGACGGCAAAGAUAAGUCGGCAGAGAAUACUUUGCCGUCUGCUUUUCGUCGGCCAGAUGGCAAAGACUUUGCCGUCAGCCAAAUCUGGUUCGCCGCCAGCCUUAUAAAUCACCUACGGCAAAGAAAAGUCCUUUUGCCAUCAGCCAGACUACAUCAUUGCCGUUAGCUAUUCACGGAUUUGCCGUCAGCCUCGUAUAUGACAGACGGCAAAGAAAGGAUCAUUUUGAAAAAAAAACACAGCUUCCCAGGGAUACGGUCAACGCAUGCAGUGCACUACCUAUGUUUCUUCUUCUUUUUUAACGAGGAAAGUCCCAGCCGUCUUUAGUGCCUUUUAUUCAAUGUUAGUCCAGUACAAAAUACAAACAUGAUCCUGAAAAAACUAAUGUUACAGAAUAGUCCUCGAAACUAACACACAGGACCCUAAAAAGCAAAACUAAAAAUCAAUUGGGUCCUUCUCUGUUGUAGUGCUCUGUUCGCUCCGUCGGCGACGCUCAACGCACCGCUCUGUUGUGCUCCGCUCGCUGCACCGUCGUAUGGCCCUGCUCAGCCGCGCUCGGGAGCUGGCUCGCUCCGGUGCUGCGAGGAGGCAUGCGGGGAAGCUCGGGGAUGGGCGGUGCUCGACCGCCGGUGACGGCCCUGCUCAGCCGCACCGCUCUGGCCCAGCCGCGCCGCUCUGGCCCCGCGGCGGACGGAUGGUCUCGCGGGCGUCGGCCGCAGUGUGCGGCUCCUCAGGGACGGACGGGCGCUGGGCUCAGUGUGCGGCUGCUCGGGGGCGCCGGAGGCGCGAUCGGGCAUUGGCCGGCGACGUGGUUCUUCUUGAGGGAUAAGGAGGGAAGAGGGAGCAGGAGAGAGCGUGCAAGAUGGAGAGAGGAGGGAGCACGGGGGAGAAGGAGAUGGACACUAUAGGAAGGGAGGACGAGCGGCAGUUGAAGGGCAGCGGCAGUUGACGAGAAGAGGAGAUCUGGAUCGGGAGGAGGCAUGGGGUCGCGGGCAGGGAGGACGAGGAGGACCCAGUGGCGAGGAGGAGGAGGAUGCCGCGGUGGCCUCAUGCUCAAGCGGCGGCGAGCUCUUGCGGCGCGGCCGGAUCGAAGGGAGGCGGCGGUUGAUGAGUUGGUGAGCUCGGGAUAGGGAGGAGACGGGAGGUCGGGGCACAGAGGAGGAGGAGGAUCCCGCGGCGAGGAGGAGGUGGAGGAUCCCGCGGUGGCCUCCAACUCAGGCGCCGGCGAGGUGGGGUCGACCAGUGCGGGGGCGACGUGGAUCGAGAGAAGGGUGGGCGACAGGCCGGCGCGCCGGAGGAGAUUGGAGGCGGGGGCGACCGCGCUGGAGGNNNNNNNNNNNNNNNNNNNNNNNNNNNNNNNNNNNNNNNNNNNNNNNNNNNNNNNNNNNNNNNNNNNNNNNNNNNNNNNNNNNNNNNNNNNNNNNNNNNNNNNNNNNNNNNNNNNNNNNNNNNNNNNNNNNNNNNNNNNNNNNNNNNNNNNNNNNNNNNNNNNNNNNNNNNNNNNNNNNNNNNNNNNNNNNNNNNNNNNNNNNNNNNNNNNNNNNNNNNNNNNNNNNNNNNNNNNNNNNNNNNNNNNNNNNNNNNNNNNNNNNNNNNNNNNNNNNNNNNNNNNNNNNNNNNNNNNNNNNNNNNNNNNNNNNNNGCCUCCCUGCUCUCCAGCGCCGGCCAUGGAUGUGUGCUGGAUGUGUUGUGUGGUGUGUAGUGUGCGUGGGUGGGUGGGGUGGGGCGUGGGUUAGUGGGUGGGUGGGUGGGCCUCGCUAGGUAGUGCGUGUGUCAGGAUGGGUAGGUGGGGCUGGUGGGUUUUGGAUGGGCUGACACGUCAUCGAUCCGUGGGAUUGAUCCGCGUGAUGUGCUUCUUCUUUGCCGUCUAUGAUUUUUAUUACAGACGGCAAAGAGCAUACUUUGUCGUCUGCAAUAAAAACACAGACGGCAAAGAUCUUUGCCGUCUAUAAUUUUUUAUUACAGACGGCAAAGUGUAUAUUUUGCCAUCUGUAAUGUAAAAUGUAGAUGGCAAAGAUGUUUGCCGUCUGUAUUUUUUCUUGCAGACGGCAAAGUGAGCUCUUCGCCGUCUGUGUUUUUUUUCGCAGACGGCAAAGUAUAUUUUACCGUCAGUUUUUCUUUGCCGUCUAUUGAUGACGGCAAACCCUUUCUUUGCCGUUUUGCCCGAUCACUACUAGAAAAAGGGCUAUAGAUGGGAUUGACACUAAUGGCGCACCAGACAAGUGGUGCGCCAUUAGUAUAUACUAAUGGCGCACCACCUUCUGAUGCGCCAUUAGAGUUGAAACUACUAAUGGCGCACCUGGCACACGGUGCGCCAUUAGUAUCAAUUUUUUUUUGAACUAGUGCGCCUGUCCAAACAUACUAAUGGCGCAUCCACAGGCAGUGCGCUAGUAAUGGCGCACCUGCCAGAGAGUGCGCCACUAAUGUUGUUUUUUUUACUAUUUUUUUAUUCCUUUUUUUGCAAAACUACUAAUGGCGCACUCGCACGCGGUGCACCAUUGGUGUAGUGCGCCAUUAGUAUGUUUUUUUUACAAAACUACUAAUGGCCCACCACCAGGGGGUGCGCCAUUAGUAACCUGGAUUACUAAUGGCGCAUUUGUGGUUGGUGCGCCAUUAGUAAGUGGGCAGCAACAAGAUAUUUUGGACAGCCUCUCCUCCCACACUCACUUUCUCCCCACUUCAUUCUCUCCACCGCCUCCUCCUUGUCUCGGGUGCCUCCUCUUUUUCACCUCAUUUCCACCAUAAAUUCAUUCAAAUUAAGUGGUUAAGUUACCUUGUUUUGCUAGGUAAGUAAGGGCGGAAGCUAUAUUUAUGUUGUUCUCCCUACAACAAUGUGCACAUGCACUUUUUAUGGCCUAGCUAGAUCUAUGUAUGUUCGUGGUGUUGCAUAUGUUUGUGGUUUUGCAUAUGUGUUUGUGUUUGGAGAUGUACCGGUAUUUGAAAUGCGAUAGUUGCCAAUAUUUUGCCGGAAUGUUGAUUCAUUUCCGUUUCGGCGAGAAUUUUGGCAUUAAGCAUUCUUUUUGGUCCUAUUUUUAGGGAAAGUCAUGCCAAAUUUUUUCUUGGUUCUAAAAUAUCGUUUUGCUCUACCCCGCAGGCGACCAUGGUCCGCAUGAUGACCGAAGGCAUUGUGAAUAGGUUUUUGAGGUCCGCGAAGGCCGAGAUGCUUCAAAAGAACGAGACGGAGAUAAGAUGUCCGUGUCGAAGAUGCAAGCUGAAUAGCCUUAUUGCGGACCCGGAUUCCGGGCAGGUGCGGGACCACCUGCUCUUGCGUGGUUUCAUGGAUGGCUAUCGGUGGCAAGGUGAUGAAGAUGACUACGAAGUCGUCCAUGGGGGCCGGGCAAGAAAUGAGGAAGGGCAGCAAGACAACCACCGCUGCUCGGGCGGGCGAGAAGACGAAGAAUCCCCAGGAGAUGAUCACGACAGUGAUGCUGUACACAGUCAUCAUGUAGAAGAAGAUGUAGGACAUGAUGAUGAUGCUGGCGGAGCAGACGAAGCUGGACCAUCGAUGGGCUGGGUGCAGGACCCUCAUAUUCAAGAGCUGCUUCUCAAGCAGACGGAUAACGCAAGAGCUGCCGCCCGAGAGAAAGCCAAGAUGGAUCAACUUGAGUUAGACGCGGUUACUCCAUUGUAUGAAGGAUGCAGGCCCGAGGAUACCCGCCUGAAAGUAACGCUCAUGACUCUGGAGAUGAAGGUAAAACACAAAAUGACCGACGCAUGCUUCGACGAGAACAUGUCAUUCUGGCACGAACGUCUUCCCAAGGGGAACAAGUGCCAGACCAGUUUGGAGGAGGCGAAGAAAAUCGUGUGUCCUCUGGAUUUACCGCACGUGAAAUACCAUGUGUGCAUGAACAAUUGCAUCAUUUAUCGGGACGAGCACGCGGAGUCUACCAUAUGUCCGGUGUGCGGUGUCACUCAAUACAAGAAGAGGAAGAAAGCUCCUCGAAAAGUGGUGUGGUACUUUCCGAUCACUCCUCGUCUGCAGCGGUAUUUCACGGACCCUAAGGUAGCAAAGCUCCUGCGUUGGCACGCGGAUAGGGAGGAGAAGAAGCGAGAAGAUGACGCAAAUGAUCCGGAGAUAGAUAAAAAGACAAGAUGCUGAGUCACCCUAAGGAUGCGAGCCAGUGGCAAGCGUUGAACUUCGAAUACCCAGAAUUUGGGAACGAUAGAAGGAACAUCGUGCUGGGCGCGAGCACCGAUGGAGUCAAUCCGUUUGGCAGCCAGAGAAGCACACAUAGCACCUGGCCUGUGUUCGUGUGGAUGUACAACCUUCCCCCCUGGUUGUGCAUGAAGAGGAAGUACAUUCACAUGAGUAUGCUAAUUGAAGGGCCGAAACAACCAGGGAACGACAUCAAUCUGUAUCUGGGGCUGCUGAAAGAGGAGAUUGACACGCUGUGGAAAACGCCAGCCAAUACGUGGGAUGCCGCAGAGAAAGAAUAUUUCCCUAUGAGAGCCGCACUGCUCACGACGGUGCAUGACUAUCUCGGUUACGGAUAUCUUGCGGGGCAGGUAGUCCACGGAUUUCUGGAUGCGUAAGGUGCAUGGAUGACACAACGUAUCGCCAGCUAGAUAGAGAUCCCAGGUCUUUGAAAACCGUGUUCAUGGGACAUCGAAGGUGGCUUCACGACGAUGACCCGUGGAGGAAACGCAAGGAUCUGUUCGAUGGUGAAACCGAACCCCGAAAACGCCCGUGUACGAGGAGCGGCGAGGAAAUAGACAAGCUGUUGAAAAAUUGGAAAGACUGCCCACUACCGGGAAAGAAGCAAAAGGCGCCAGAGCCGCUGCUGAAGGUAUGGAAAACGAGGUCUGUUUUCUGGGACUUGCCGUACUGGAAGAUCCACCGUGUGCCUCACAGCCUUGAUGUCAUGCAUAUCACGAAGAACGUGUGCGAGAGUCUUCUUGGUACCCUGCUCAACAUGCCAGAGAGGACCAAAGAUGGGUUGAAAGCAAGGGCAGACUUGAAAUCAAUGGGCAUCAGGCAGGAGCUUCACGCUAUAUAUGAUGAUGAUGAUGAUGAUGAGGCGAAGCAGGACACAGAAAGUCGUCGCAAAGGCAAAAAGGCCAAGAAGACCGAAAAUGACUACCCUCCCGUGUGCUUCACUCUAAGUCAGGAGGAGAUCGAGCAGUUUUUCACCUGCCUCCUAGGAGUAAAACUUCCUUACGGUUACGCGGGGAAGAUAAGAAGAUACCUAUACCCAGCGAAGCAGAAGUUCAGCGGGAUGAAGUCUCAUGACUGUCACGUGCUGAUGACGCAGAUACUUCCAGUUGCAAUCCGUGGGAUCAUGGACGCGCACGUCCGUGAAACGCUAUUUGGCCUAUGCAACUUCUUCGACGUCAUCUCUCGGAAGUCGAUUGGCGUGAGGCAACUCAGAAGGCUACAAGAAGAGAUCGUGGUGAUACUAUGCGAGCUUGAGAUGUACUUCCCGCCCGCAUUAUUGGAUGUUAUGGUGCAUCUGCUGGUCCAUAUAGUGGAGGAUAUCAUCCAACUCGGGCCGACGUUCCUGCACAGCAUGAUGCCGUUCGAAAGGAUGAAUGGUGUCAUCAAAGGAUACGUUCGCAACAUGUCACGUCCAGAGGGAAGCAUAGCCAGGGGCUUUCUGACCGAAGAGUGCAUCUCCUACUGCACGAAUUAUCUAGGCAUCGAGAACCCCGUUGGUCUGCCCGUCAACAGGCACCUCGGCAGGCUCGCUGGAUGGGGUCACCGUGAGGGUCGCCGCGAAAUGCAUGUCGACUUCGAGGGUCGACUCGCCGACUUUGAAAGAGCAAACCUAGUCGCGCUACAACACAUAGACGUGGUCGAUCCUUGGGUGGUAGAGCACAAAACCUUUAUUAAGAAGACGUACAAUGACCGAGGCCAACAGAGGACGGACGGAGAUAUACUCAAAGAGCACAACUCAUGUUUCACGCGUUGGUUCAAGCAGAAGCUUCUGUCGUACCCUUUACAUGAGGAUUCUUCCGCGGAAGAACAACUCAUAUUCGCCUUGUCACAGGGCGCCGAGCACAACCUGAUGACCUAUGAGGCGUACGAUUUCAACGGCUACACAUUCUACACCGAGGCCAAGGACAUGAAGAGCGAUGUUUAUCAGAACUCCGGGGUAACGAUGGAAUCCUACACCGGUAACGACAAGGACAUAUACUACGGAAGGAUCGAGGAGAUCUGGGAGCUGAGCUACGCUGGAGAGAAGGUCCCGAUGUUCUGUGUCAGAUGGACCAAGAACGUCACAAAAGAAGACCGGUAUUUCACCACCAUGGUUAUACCCGAAGCCAAAUCCAAGACCGCGGGCGCAAACAUCACCGCAAAAAAUGAGCCAUGGGUACUGGCUUCCCAAGUGGACCAAUGCUUCUUCAUUACCGACCCACCAAAGCCCAGUCGUGUUGUCGUGAGGAGAGGCAAAAGGAAGAUCAUCAGAAUGGAUGGAGUAGCCAAUGAGCAAGACUUCGACAAGUACGGCGACCCGAGGAUCGAACAUGACGACGACGAUGAAGUAGCAGCAUACACCACAAGAAGAAGCAGGACCACCCUACCUAAAGGACGUCCGUUCCAUAGAAGAACUCCAUUUGCGAAAAAGAAGGGCAAGAAGAUUGUGAACAGAUAGCUAGCUAAGAUCGAUUGUAUUUAAAUCGUAGACUUCAUUUCUCGAUUAUAUUUCAUGGGCACUUUUUGAACUAUCAUGAAUAUUUUUUAAUUUCAUGGACACUCGAUCUCGAUCCUCCUCCAUCUCGAUCGCUAUCCCACCUCGCCAAAUCCGGUCCACCGGCCGCCGCCGCCGACCGCCCGCACCCUUCCCAAGUGGACCUCCUGGUGUGAGAACUAGCUACUGACCAGUCGAGCUAGUAGAGAAGACUUGACAUGUAUCAGGUCAGGUGGUAGAUAACUGUUGGCUCGAGCAGAAAUAAAAAAAAUACUAAUGGCGCACCUCACCCUGGUGCGCCAUUAGUAUGUAUGUACUUGUGGCGCACCGAGGGGUGGUGCGCCAUUAGUAUUGUGGCGCCCCUACUUCGUACCGAUCCCCUCUCUCUCCCUCGCCCUCGCCCGCGAUCCCCUUCCCCGAUCUCCUCUCCCGACGCCACCGUCGCCCUGCCCCGACACCACCGUCGCCCCGCCGCCCUCGACGCCACCGUCGCCCCGCCCCGACACCACCGUCGCCCCGCCGCCCCGACACCACCGUCCGUCGCCCCGCCGCCCCGAACCAGGGAGCGGAAGCGCGGCCGGCGUGCGAACGAGCGGAGAAGGCGUCCAUCCUCGUCCUCAACCUGUCGUCGACAUCGUCGAUUCCAGCUCUCGCAGCAAGGUAUGCGGCUGGUUCGUCCCCUGUCAUGGCCAGAUUGAUUUUUUUUCGGUAAACUAGGCUAGGGUUCGAUGGAUUAUGGAGAUUCAUGGUGAUUCAUCAGUGAAUAAAUUCGUUCCAAGAACAAGAUCAUGGCCAUUUCCUGUGCUAGCUAGAGCCGUUGUCAGCCUGUGCAAGGUUCAGAACAAGUUGUCAGCGUCUUUGUGCUCUAUACUUUGUAUGAAAAUAGCAUCGCUAGUAGUAAUCACCGAGGGAUAAAAAAUACGAAUGAUAUUAUAGUUUUUCUAUACUUCAAGUUUCUAUUUUGUAUAUGCUCACCUGCAUCUGCUCCAGUAUAAUGUCUUUGACGUGAUAAUGCAAUUAAAAAGCAAUAUUGGUUGAGAGAAAUUGCUGUACUGGUUAAGACAACUGAUUUUCAUACAAUGGCAGCAGUGCACAAACAGUGUGAGUGGUGUGUACUUAUUUCGGAGAUGAUUGGUGUCGGCUCAGCGGCUGCCAUUUAAUCAAAUCACAAUUCGUAGACUACUGAUUCCUGAACUAUUUAUGUUUUGUUGUUUCAACUCUUGAACUACUUGAUCUUGCAUUUGUGUUUAGCUAGUAGAGUAUAAAAUCCAAAUUCUUAUGACCAGAAGCAUGAAUGGUUGUUUUAAUGUUGCUCUCUGUUAAUGUCACUGAAUCUGAUGCAAAUGAUAAUCUAAGCCCAAAAGAAAAUUUUUCUAAUUCAGUCAACGUCGAGCUACUGUUCUCUGCUCAUGUGGAACAUUGCGUUACAUUUUUGCAUCUUUAGAAGUGCGGUUGUCCAUGGCAUGGAGUUUUGUACUGUUGUUAAGGUUCAGGACAAGCCCGUGACUAUCGUGUUUCUAGUAGCUAAAAUCUAUUUGUUCCUAUCGGCAUUGGCUUGAUUGUUCUAAAACUCAGAACCUGUUGCACAAUGACAUUAUUUGUAACGGCAGCAUGAGACGAGGAAGAUUUUGGUUUCUUGUUCUGUAUUAAUAACUUCCUAUAAGCAAUGCACCUCUGAUGAUUUUGUCAAAAGCGUGUCGAGUCGAUAUUCUCAAUAUAUUAUUCUUUAUCAGUUUACAAGUUGAUUAAUUUCCUCUGAUUAUUCUCAAAUUCUUGAAUUAUUUGUAAUGUCUUGCAGAAUUAUUUGUGCCUUUGUUUUUUCCUAAGUUUAGGAUGCACUCUGUUAGGUUUUAGAAAAAGUAGACGAGAGAGAUUAAAGGGGUUGUGACAAAUGCUCCUCCGUCCUGUAAUGUGAUACAUUUUUUUGACAGUGUGUCGAAAUGUCUUGCAUUAUGGGAUGGAGGGAGUAUUUGUCAGGUAUGUGACAUACUUCUCCCGUAAACGUCAGGUAUGUGACAUUAUGGGAUUAGGGGUUACAAAAAACAUCAGUUACAAAGAAGUUCAGAUUGUAAAAUGUUCAUUUUGCAGCUAGUGCCCAUUUUGAGUAAUUGCUUAGAGGGAUGAUCCUGUGUGAGCUGGUGGAGUGAUUUGUUUUCUACAUAAAGCUCUUUAGUCAAGCUGGUUUUCGUGAAAUACACAUGAAGCUUCACCAGCUCCUGUGGGUGUGGGAUCCAUGUGACAUGUGACAUUGCAUCCAUGUCCACCUGGGAUAAUGAUUUUGCAGGUACCCCGAGAGGCCCUUGAGUUUGCCGGAAUGUCGAUUAACUUCCGUUCCGGCAAAUUCGGGUACUCCAUAUGUCCUAUUUUCAGCAAAGGUCAUGCUGAAAUUUUCCGUGAAUUUUAGCAUGACUUUGCUAAAAAUAGGACAUAUGGGGUACUUGUGACUAAUGCAUGGGCCGGGGUAUCGUAGUGGUUAAUUAAGUAGGAUCAAGUGCCCCGGCGUACUUGUGACUAAUGCAUGGCUUUUAGGGUGCCUCGGUGUCGAUAAAAACCGAAAUGAUGAAAGCUUAGGCUUUUAGGGUGCCUCGGCGUCGAAAAACCCUCAAUGAUAAAAGCUUAGAUUUUAGGAUGCCUCGGUGUCGACAAACCCUAAAUGAUGAGACCAUGAUCUUGUUCGUUGACAAUAACCAACUUUUUGACCAAGCUUUGUUUCUAUUUAGAGAGAAACAUGGCCCACAACGAUGAGGCCGGGGGUUCGGGCGGCAAGGCAUUCUGGGAGCUGUCCCAGGAGAUGGAGGAACAACCUCACUUGUAUGAGGCCGCCGCCUUCCCCACCGAUCCUGAACCAUGGAUGGUGCCGCCGAGGAUGACCACACUGAUGCCACCACUGAUGGUGCCGCCGAGGAUGCCACCACUGAUGAUGGCGGCGCACGCACAGAUGGCAGCCAACCGAAGAGGCAACGGAAGGACCGACGCCCGACCGUGCUCCGCACCCUCAAGGAGGAAGUUACUGAAGUGGACUCCAACGGGAAUCCAACGGCACCCGAACGAAUAGUCAAGGGGUACUCGCUUCAGCUCGGGUGCAUUGUCCGGAGCACCGUCUCGAUCAACACCGAGAACCUGAGGCAUCCUGACAGAGGGAAUUUGCGCAACCUCCUCUUCACGAAGCUGCACGAACGAUACAAGUUCCCCGCUGAAUUUGCAAACACAAGCCUCAAAGGGAAUAAAGUGAACAAUGCUGCCCUCACGAAGAUGAGCAAGGCCCUAUCUACUUGGAAAAGCAAUGUGCAAAGAAUGAUCGAGAAGGUGAGAGUUAUCAGAAGAUCAAGGAGAAAAAUCCUUCGAUCACCGAAGAUGACUACAACGACUUCAAGAUCAAUUGCUCGAGCACCGCAAACUCCCAAUCAAGUGAGUGGGGGAAACAAAUGCGGGAGCUGAACAUAGGGGAACACACACUCAGUCCUGGCGGUUACAGAGUGGCGGAGCCUAUAUGGGACAAGGAGGAGGCGGACCGUGCCGAGCAAGGCCUACCUCCCCUCUUCGAUAAAUACGGUGACAAGCAGACCAGGAACUUUGUCAGGGCCCGGUACAAGAAGGACCCGAAAACAAAGGAGCUUACCACGGAUCCGAAGACCAGGCAGCUUGAGCUUAUUCUGGUAAGGAAUACACCCCCGCGUAAUUAGCUCCAUAUGGUUGCAUUCUAAUUAAUGAAGCCAAAUUUCUAAAUGGUUCAUAUUCCUUCCGCAGGCGACUGAAAGCAGUAGCGCUGGGUCGACUAAGAGCAACCCUUGGGACACCACUCUAAAUAGGAGGUUGAAUGUAAUGAAGAACAAGGAUAAGCUUAGUAAGACGACGUCAGCUGGUCGUGUGGCCGGCAAAGGCUUGUCGACAAAAUGGGGGUCAUACUAUACCGCUGGUGUGCGGAAUGAGAAAAAGACCAGCUUGGAAAGCCAGGCGCGAGAGGUUCAAGAACUCAAGGCACAGGUGGCGCGGAUUUCGGAGAUUGUCCAAGAGCAAAUGGAACAACGACUCGGAGCGACGAUCACCGCCAUUGUGCCUACCUUGAUCUCGGGGUUGAGUGCGUGGAUUGCGGGCGGCCAACAGGGGCCGCCCCCGAUUCCUAGCUUCACGGCUAGCAACUCGCAUAAUGCGAUGGCGGGGCCAUUGGUGCCUCCGGCGGAGGCGGCAUUGGUGUCUCCGACGCCGGCACGGGAGCUUAAUGCACCCGGGUGUACGCCGGCCGGCACCUCUGCAGCAAGCGGCCCCUCCGUCAACUGCACGCCCGCCGUUGGCGGUGCCUCUACAUUAGCCGAGCUCGACGCCAUCAUCACAGUAACUAAUUAAGCCUCUCUCGGCCGAGGACUUCAUCUCCUUGCCUUUGAGUGGGCAUACCUGACGCCCUACAUGUUUUCGCAGGGCGCCGCCGACGUUCCGUGCACUCUCCUCCACUUCGUGAACAACGAGUUGGUCGAUGUCACCAAGGGCAAAAUAGUUCAACCAGGCAACCCCUUGUUCCACGGUACCCAGAUGCCACCCAACUUGUUUAGGGAUCAACUGGUUCGGGUGCUGCCAGUCUGCGACGAGUUGUUACCUCCGAUUCGACCCGUCGGGGCCGACGAUGAUUACGUGAUGACCCUCAGCGCAUGCUUGAGCUGGCCCCUGCUUUGGCCAAAGAGCCAGAUUCGUUUGGGGGCGGGGGACACCACCCCAAAGACAACACCGCCAGUCGUGCCGGCGCCAAGUCGGCCCCAUGGCAAGACCGCCGCAACGGUGCCGGACAUCCCUAUGCCACUGGAUCCAAACAUGCAUAUGGCACAGGAUCAGAACGACGACGACAACGACGAUGAUACAUUUGGCAACGUCGAUCAGUACUUUGCCGAUCAUGGGUACGAUGGCGACUUCAUGGGGCCUCCUUGUCAAGAACCAAACCCAACAAAAGACGUGUGCGAUCUAGCUCGUACCGCGGAGAAGCCAAGUUGCAACAGGCGCCAUCUGGCGUUCAGCUCUCAGGAGACGCCUCCAGCUGCCGACUUCACCGAGCCUCAGAUAGGCGAGGUGCGAAAUAUUAUCAGCCCCAACACACUCAAGAAGGCGGUCUGUGAGCAAAACUCGGUCCCAUUACAGGAGAAGAAGAAGGCACGCAAAAGAAAGACUAAGAAGGGUGCGAGCCAGCCAGCACAGAGUACGAUCCGUGCUCAGGACGGGCCACUUUCACCGCAGGAUAUCUCGAGGAGGGUGCAUGUGGCGGGUAGGGCGAUGCUACCGACAAAUAUGCUCAAUGCUGCAACCGGUGCUAUGCGGAGUCUGCAUGACAGUGUUCUUUCUUUGGAGAAGCGGCGUUUCAGGGAGAAGGAUGUGGCAUACCCAGUUUUCGCGGCCAAGGUGCCAGAGGGCAAGGGCUUUGUGGAUAACUCCAUCGGGCGUACGAUCGUCCUGCGUUUUGAUGACAUCCACGCUAUGUUGAACCUUCAUCCGCUGCACUACACCUUCGUUCGGCUAUUUUCGCUGAGUAUGGAGAUGCGGAUCAUUCGCGACAAGACCCCGGACAUCGUGAUAGUCGACCCCUUCUACAUGCGUGCCAAGAUCUUGGGCAGCGCUGGGGACCGGCAAGUCACGAGUUCUUACCUCGAAGGCGUCAUUCUGGCAAACCAAGAUAAGGAUAAAUUCCUCGUGCCUUACUUUCCCGAGUAAGUCCUCCCCUCAACCGGCCCAUAACAUAUGAAUUCUUACAUUUCGAUCGUUUUUCUUUUAACAUUCCGUAUUUUCUGCAGUGACACAUGUUGCACGCUCAUCCUCCUAAGCCCCAAAUAUUCCAUGGCCACGUAUUUCGACCCGGACCGUCAGUCGAACGUAGACUACACAAAUGUCAAGAAGGUUCUUGAUGAUGUUCUCCCCGGCUACGCCAAAUCUGGAGGCACCUUCACCAGGCCUAUUCGUAAGUACGGCAAACACGUGUUCUCCCACAAUACGACGUUCUGCUGCGUCAAGCAGCCGCCUGGCGGUCAGAAGGGUGCCUACUACGCCAUCCAUCACAUGCGGGCGAUCGUACGGGACCAUCAUCAACUUCUGCUACCGAGUAAACUCAAAGAUUGGGCAAAGAGCGUGUCGGCAAUCCAGGACGCGGACCUCCGACAAGAAUUCUUUCGCAUCCAGUCGGAGUUUGCGGAAAUCAUCCAUCAAGAUGUCCUUCGUACCUCGGGGCAGUUCUACCUCAACAAUCAACCGUCCAACAGUGACAUCGACACAAUGCUACAAAUGCAGGCUGACAACGACAGUUAUUUCAUGACUCCCACGAUAGACGGCGGCUUCAUCCACGCUCCGGUCCCUUGAGUCGAGUCGAAAGCAGUGAUGCUGUGUCUAGUUCUGAAACAUCGAUUGGCUCAUGUUGUAAUUAAACUUUAAUGAACUUGUAGUAUGUCUCUUUGGUUUCGAGAGUCGUUCAACUUAGAUGUAAUCGAUGCUAUUAAUGUCUUGCUUUUCUCUUCCGAUCAUUCUGUUGCAUACUUAUAUAUUGCUUAUGUAUUGUCUGUGAAUUGGUACUAACGUUUCGUUUAGCUAGUGCAUAGCGAUGUCGACGUAUGUCGUGUACAAGGGUAAGGUUCCAGGAGUCUACGAUGACUGGGAGGAGUGUCGGAGACAGGUUCACCGAUUCAGCGGUAACAGUUACAAAGGGUACACCACUAGGGCCGAGGCCGAAUCUAGAUACGCCCGCUAUCUAGCAGGAGAGGGGAGGGAGCGUUGGAGGAACCGGAUGAAGACGAGUUUCAUCGUGAUGAUGCUCAUCGUGAUGACCGCAUCUCUCUUCCACGUGAUGGUAGUUUAGAUGAUUGAUAUCGACUUGUAAUGUGAAGACAAACUCGCUACUCACGGUCUCGAGACUUGUAAUAUAAUGUUCUAUCUUUGUUCGGUCUUUUCAAUUCGGAGACUAAUAUGAUGAAUUGUAUUCGGAGACUAAUAUGAUGAAUUGUAUUCAAAGACUAAUCUUCUAUUGUAUUCGAUGAAUCUGUUGUUGAUGUGUGCUGUCUAUAUUUUGUCAAGUUAUACAUUUUGUAACCUGUGCAAAAAAUAGAAAAUAAAAAAUAAAAAAACCUAAUAUUCAUACUAAUGGCGCAUCACAUGACAGUGCGCCAUUAGUACGACAAAGCAUACUAAUGGCGCAUCACUGGGCAGUGCGCCAUUAGUAUGCCGCGGUUACUAAUGGCGCAUCUCGUGGUCGUGCGCCAUUAGUAUGCCAAAGCACCUGGGUAUACAUGGCCCCUGGGAGGCAUACUAAUGGCACACCGUAGCCUAUACUAAUGGCGCACCAGUGGUGCGCCAUUAGUAAAAAUUACUAAUGGCGUGCUAGUAAUGGCGCACCAGUGAUGCGCCAUUAAUGGCCAAAUUAGGUGAGCCAUUAGUAGCGGUUUUUUUAGUAGUGGAUGAAAAGCUGACGGCAAAUUAGCUGUUUCCCGUAGUGUUGGGGAAGUGAAAGGCCUUGGAACACUUGCACUAGUUGACCUUCUUGCAGAUCUGGCAGUAGCGUAUCUGGCAGCAGCAGAUCUUGCAGUAGGAGAUUUUGCUGGUGGCUGCUGUGAUCUUGAUGGUGGCUGUUGUGAUCUUGAUGGUGGCUGUUGUGAUCUUGCUAAUGGAGUAUCUUUAUUCCUUGAUCUUGCAGGUGCCUUGCAAACAUAAGAGGAAACAUGGUAGUUAGUCAGAAGGGUUUAGCACAUAAAACUUGAAAGAUGCAAACCAAUUAACAAUUAGCAUUAACAAGGGUUUACCACAUGCUUGUUUUUUCUCAUAGCCAACUCAGGUCUUAACUGUUGCUUGCAGUUGGUGUACCUAUGGCCUUGGAGCCCAUAGUUGCUACAUGUUAUAGUGGCCAUUCUUGAACCGUCCUUUGGUUUUGGAACCUCAAAUCUGCCCUUUAUUCUCUUCUCUUUCCUUCUUCCCUUCUUCACAUGAAAUUUGGGUGGCUCUAUGUCUGGUCCACUUGUCAUGGUCCAAUCAUGUUCACCAGGAACUGUAUAUAUCAUUGGCUCAUAUGCACCUAGGUAAAAAGGUUUUUUGAAGAAAUUGCACACAUAGUCCUCUGGAAAUCUUUUUGCCUUAUUAAUUGUUGAUAUUGCAUGGUUGCAUGGUAUGCUAGACUGGUCCUACUUUCUGCAGCCAUAUGUAUAAAGUUCCAACUUUACAGCAUGUGUUUGCUACCCACUGGCACUCACCAAAGAUUUACACCAGCUUGAAUAGGUUUGCAGAAUCUGGCCCUUUCCCUUUCCACCUCUAGCUUUUCAGCAUAAUGUGGUGUGAUCUCCCAUAGAAAUACCUUUCCUCUCUCUCUAUUCCUAUGCCACCUCACCAUCUGCAUGUCCUUAAUACCAUCAAUCAUUGUCCUAAUAGGUUUUUUCCUAAAAUCUAGGAGGUACUUGUUGAACACCUCAGACAAGUUGUUAACAACCAAGUCUGUCUAGCAGUUAGUGUCAAAAUCAUGCCUAGCCCAUGUGUGCUUAGGUAUUCCACUUAGCCACUUCCAAGCUUCCACACUCUCAUUUUUAAGGUCAUUCAUGGCAAUGUUAAACUUGUGCUGGUUAUAAGCAUAGCCGGCAUUAUCCAUGCAUUUCUUAAGAUCUUUCCCCCUAAACCCAUCAUUCUGGAAAUUUGCAUAGAGGUGUCUAAGGCAAAAUCUUUGAUGGCACUUUGGAAAAAGCUUGAUUUACUGCAUUUAGUAGCCCCUAUUCACAUAGCAUCCUAGAGUUAGCUGUUGUACUACUACACCUAGAGCAUAACAUGCUAAUGCAGAAGAACAUAACAGGAAGAACAUAAUAGAAAGAUGCAUGCAUAACUUCUGUCUAUCAGACAUGAUAGUAUAAACGCCAAAUUUCCCAACUUCUUCUCCUAGACACAUCUGCAGUUGGUGCAGAAACCAACAACAGUUAGCUAUGUCCUGUUGUCCAACAAUAGCAAAUGCAAGUGGGAAAAUAUUGUUAUUGCCAUCUCUUCCAGUGGCAGCAAGGAUUUGAGCACCUGUGGUGAGCUUAAUAAAGCAUCCAUCAACACAUGUUGUUGCAACCAAAGAACAAUUUUAGUCACUAUAUAUGAUCCACUUAAAGUCACUAUAAAGCACUAACUGAGCUCCUGAGCUAACAAUACUAUAUAUUUAAGUCACUAUAAAGCACUACUAAACAAUGAAAAUUUGUGAUUUACAAUAACAAAGAUUUAAAAAGUUGUCAUAUAAUACAAGGAAGGCAUAACUAACCAAUGAAUGGUUUGCAUCCAUUGAUAAAUCCCUCCCUUGCUCCAUUUAUGCAGAAAAAGUGGUCCUGGAUGUGGUAUUUUAGUAGGUUUUGGAGUAACUACUAUAACUACAACUCUACUGCCAGUUUUGUAUCCAUGAUGGUCUGAGUAUAAUCCUAAGUCCAGGAUACUAUUUCCUGUGCUCUCCUAGCACAACUUAUACAACUAGGUAUUUGGCCCUAUAGGCCAUGUGCCUUGGCACAUCAACACCAUACUUCUCAUUUGCAGUUGUCAAACAGAGUGUGUAUGCUAGUGGUUGGAUCUGACCUGAACAAUGACUCAUAGGUCUUUGCAAGCCACUUUGCACUAAUCCUUGAUGUCUUUGUGCUGCUAGGGCAAGUGUGCUCCAGCUUAUUUUCUUAAUAGCAAAAGUCUUCCCCCCUUUGAUAACUGCAGCAACUAUGCAAAACUGGCAGUGCUCUUGCUUACAACAGUCAAUUAUCCUUUGGUCUGGUUUUCCUGUGAUACCUGAAGUCUCGGGCCUGUAUGAUGUGCAAGCUCAACCCUAGGAUCCUGCCCUAGCCACGCCCCCUUCCUUCUUAGGCACGUGGGAGGAAGGCAUGACGGUUGCCCCCCCCCCUUACCUUUCUCUCAUGUGGAGGGAAGGCAAGAGCGCUAGCUAGCCCUCCCCUUUUCCUUCCCUAGGGCCGGCGGCCUAGAGGUGGGGUGCAUGGGCCCCUUGUGGGCUGGUGUGCUCCCUUCGUUUGGGCCAUACGGCCCGAUAACCUCCCGGGGCCCCUCGGAACCCCUUCUGGUGAUGCGAUGAAUACCCAGUACAUUGCGACACCUUUCCGUUCACCAAAUAGCAUCGUACUAUAUAUCAAUCUUUACCUCCGGACCAUUCCGGAGCUUCUCAUCAUGUCCGUUAUCUCAUCCAGGACUCCAAAACAACAUUCGGCCACCAAUUCACUAACUCAUAUAAUACUACAUCGUCAAUGAACGUUAAGUGUGCGGAUCCUAUGGGUUCGAGAAUGAUGUAGACAUGACCGAGAUGCUCUCCUAUCAAUAACCAAUAGCGGAACCUGGAUGCCCGUAUUGGCUCCUACAUAUUCUACGAAGAUCUUUAUCGGCCGAACCUUUAUGUCAACAUACGUAGUUCCCUUUCUCUGUUGGUAUGUUACUUGCCUGAGAUUCGAUCAUCGGUAUCUUGAUACCUAGUUCAAUCUCGUUUCCGGCAAGUCUCUUUACUCGUUCCGUAAUACAUCAUCAUGUAACUAACUCAUUAGUCAGUUUGCUUGCAAGGCUUCCACUACUAGGGAAAGGCCUAGCAGUAGCGCGGGUUGCAGCGCUACUGGUACGGCGCUACAGCUAAAGGCUAGCAGUAGCGUGGGUUGACCCACGCUACUGCUAUAUCCACUUAGUAGUAGCACUUCCUAGAAAGGGCGCUACUGGUAGUUACUAGUAGCGCUUCUCGCAGCCCGCGCUACUAAUAUUAUUCCGUAUUAUAUUUCUUUUUUAUUUCAUGUUGUAUUCAUACACCUUUAUACAAGUUUUCAUACAACACCAAUUUAGAGCUUGUUUUUACAUCAUAAUGAGUUAUUACAUCACUGGGUGAAAGAACCGUGGACUAGUUUCAAGUGGAUGGACAUCCACUUGAAACUAAUCUGCGGUUCUUUCACCCAAUGAUAUAAUAAAUAGCAUCAUCAUCAUCAUAUCAUUAAUAACUUAUCAACAUAAUACAUCAUUGUCAUAUAACACCUCCUCAUGAUCAUCGUUUUCAUCAAUGAGACAUCACAUAGCAAGUUGGUCACUAGUCAUAAUCACAACUACUACUCAUCAUCAACUCUAACACAUUGUACCAUAUAAUAAACAUUGUACCUCAUCGGACCUACUCCAUUCUCUUAGGACCUACUACAUUCUCUUAGGUAAAAUAGCAUAAAACAAGAUAGGCACUGACUCUCCAUUAUGGAGAAUGGAGAUUAUCCUGUCUCCAAUUCUUGCCUUUUGCACAAUGUUGCUUCCAAUAACCUCCCUACGAAUGACCAUACAUUUUUGCCAUUCUUUGAUUAUCAUGUCUUCACCGGUUUUAGAAAUCCGAUAUGGACAGGUGUGAUUCGUAGGACGACAUGGCUGUAUGUUGAAAACAUCAAGGCGACCAUUCUGAAACAUCAGAUGAGGCACACAAUCGUUCGGGAUUUUUUGUUGAAAAACAUAGUAAUAACUUCGUAGUUAGCAAUGUAGUUCAGUUUUAAAAGUAUGCAAAAGAUGCACUGAUGUCAUAAUAGUAAAAAAUCUUACCAUGGCAUCUCCAUGGAUGUUAACGAAGUUCAACACGUGCACUAGUGUCAUGUAUUGACCAUAAUGGAGAGGCGUUUGAUAAUAGAUAUUGUAAUUCUCAAGAUCAGUACAAAAUGCAAUCAGAUGAUUUUUCUCCUAAUAAGUUAAUUCGGAGCCAUGGGUGUAGUAGGUUAUGUCUACCGUCUUCCGCAUAUUGUUUGAAGAAUGAAAGUAAGCUGUCAAUGGAAAUAAGCUGUCAACUAUUUUCAAAUAAACAAUAUAAAUUAGUUAAUAACUAUGUUUGAGAAACUCACAUAGCGGUAGAAUUGGAAGAGUAUCAACAAGGACCCAAAUGUCCAUAUUGUCUUGGUCGAUGUCAGGAUCGCCAAGAUCCAUGGUGACAAGCGUACCCUUAUAAAAACCAUACAUCUUGCAAAGUGCUUCCUAAUUUUCAACCAAAAUGGGUUACACUCUCAGAAUUGUACAGAUUUACUUCAAAGUCCAUACCAUGAUGGGUUCUUAGGUGAUUUUUCUUUGUUUCGAAACUUUCAUGGUCUUCAAAAUCCAUCCUCUCCAAGACAUAGCUUCUUGCAUGGCAUGUGAUAAGAUAGUUGAAUUGUAAAAGAUGAAAAUUACACAUUGAAAUAGUUGAAGUAGUGCUUAAUUAUGAAAAAAACACUUGUCAUCGUUGCGUACCGUUUCAACAUCGAAGGUCUCCUGGAGCUUAAUGCUGAAGCGCCGAUCUUUGUCCAUGUGAGGCCUGUCGCACAGACCUCGGUCGUUGUUGCACCAGUCGCACUCCCCUAGGAGACUUCCGUCGUCCGAUGACGACAUUUCCUAUGUUCAUAAUUCAAAGAUUAAACUUGUACAAUUAAAUAUAUGUAGUACAAAAACUAAAUAGAUCAUUAUUAUUCAUCACGGGUUGACUAUGGGUCUGCCGAGUCUUUUCUUGCAAACUCUCAGCUCACGUGGUGUAUACAUUCGACCGUUGGUGAUGAUCGCUCCUCCUUUCGUCCCCGAGUGCAUUACACCAAAAUGUCUAGCACACGGGAACGAAGGAUAAGCGACCCCCAUGACAACAGUCGGGAUUCUUCGUCCUCUCAUAUAUGGUGGAGCCUCGACAGACUUAAAGUCAACCCAAAAUGUCGUUUAAUUAUCUUUCUAGAAAAUCCGGGCCACUCGAUAUUUUCUACAUAUUCUAGCACAAGUCGUGCCAAAAUUCACGAAAAAAUCCGCCAUGACCUUUGCUAAAAAAGCACAUAUCGAGCGCCUGAAAUUUGCCAGAAUGGAAAUUAAUCAACACUCCGGCAAAAUAUAGGCCACUCGGAGGUGUAACCUGCAAACAUGACCGGCCACUUGGCCAAGCACAUAUCCUAUUUGAGCAACACAAGAUAUACAUGUUUUUAUCUACAUCAUAUGAGCAUUCAAACUAGAUGGUCAUUGCAUUUCAAUGGUUGAAAAUAUGAACAAAAAGAUUUCAAAAUAUCUUAUAGGACUCAUAUUGACAUGGAGAUUUGGCUGGUCUCACCUCGAGUUCGGAGGGGGUCGGUGACGGGGACGAUGGCGGGAUGAUGGAGGGGCUCCUGGAUUUCUGCAAAAACAAAAGCCCUAUAAGCUAUCAACUAAUCAAAUGCAUACACCUUGCAUAGUGGAGGUUCAAUUUGAGCAUUCAAGAUAGGAGUACUUCUCCAAUUUGAGCAUUCAAUAAGCAAAACAAAAUCGUAAAAUAAAUAAGUAUUCAAAUUAGCAUGCAUUCAAUAAGCAAAACUAAAUCAUCUCUUGCAUCCGUACAUCGUCGAAUAUUAUCAAUAAUACAUCUCGAAGAGUAUCAUACAUAUAACAUCACUAAUACAACUAAAACCAUAGCGAACGACGGGUAUCGGCGCGGGCGGUGGACACCCAAAGAGAAGCAACCAUCACAGGAUCAUAGCUCCAGUGAGAUCCCUGAAGAACCUGCCAGGUAUUGGAGAACCUGCCCUCCGACGCAACCAUGUAGCGACGGACGUGCUCAUCCUCCUCGCUGACAUGGUGACGUACCACCUCCGCGGGGUCCUCAAGCCUCUGCACUGUCACUAGCCCACGCGACUGCCACCAAACAAGGUUCGGGUCAACGACGGGCUGGCUCCUCACCAAUCUGCGUCCCUGGUAGGUAGCACCUCUCAGUACUAGCCCAGCGGAGACCAGUCUCGGACAUGGCCCCUCUGAUCAAGCAGGUGUCCUCCGCCGAGUCGACAAGGAGGAUGCAGGAUAGGCAUCGUCGACGUCGAUGCGGCAAUAAUUGCUUUAACUAAAAAAAUAACAACUAAACAUAAAUUUUCUUACUAAAAAUAAACUAGUUAUAUUAAUUCAACUAAACACUUACUAUAAAUAAAAAUAAACUAGUUCUUACUAAAAAUAAACUAGUUUAACUAGUUCUAUUAAUUUUCUUACUAAAAAUACACUAGUUCUAUUAAUUCAACAAGUUCUUACUAAAAAUAAACUAGUUCAACUAGUUCUAUUAAUUUUCUUACUAAUUCUAUUAAACAUUACUGCCCUAGUUCUUAAGCAUCUACAAGUACUAACUAAUUAGAUGAACCUUGCCUAGGAACUACUGCCCUAAUUAGCAUCUAAUUUUGAUGAAACUUAACUAAUUUGAUGCACUCUCAAAUUUGAUGAACCCUCGGAACCCUAGCUAGACCGAGGUAGGGGAGGAGGAGGAGGAGGUGUAGGCGUGCUCACCUCGGGUGCCAGCGGGGUUAGGGAGCGGUCGAGGGAGAGGCAGGCGGCGUUGAGGUCGGGGUCGGGGCUCGGUCGCGUGGCGGAGGGCGGCGAUGUAGGGCGGCGUUGAGGUCGGGGUCGGGGGCGGUGUCGAGGGCGUGCGAAGGGCGACGGGAGAGCGCGGGGCGGCCGACGGCGAUGCAGGGUGAAGACAGAGACGAGAGCAGAUGAGUUCGAUUUGGGGGAAGUGGCCGUGGGGAAGAAGAAGCGCGCGGUUAAGUGAAAAGUAGCAGUAGCGCGUUCCAGGAAAAGUGCUACUGCUACAUUAGCUAUAGCGCUGGCUGACAAAACGCGGUACUGCUAAGUUAGCUAUGGCGCUUGUCCUGAAAACACGCUGCUGGAACGCCUUUCUCCUUUAUUUUCCUUUUUCAUUUGUUUUCCUUCACAUUUUAUCUUUUUCCUUCCCCUUUUUCGAAUUUUUUCAUUUUCAUUUACUUUUCUAUAUGUUUUCCAUUUUAUUUUCCUUUCAUUAGCAGUAGCGCUUUUUGCGUGAAACACGCUGCUACAACAACCUUAGCAGCAGCGCGCUUCGCUUAAGCUCGCUACUACUAAUGGUAGCCUGGCGAGAACAGUAGGGGAAUUGACCUUAGCAGCAGCGCGCUUCGCUUAAGCUCGCUACUACUAAUGGUAGCCUGGCGAGAACAGUAGGGGAAUUGUAGUUGUAGUGCUUCUUCCAUACGCUACUACUAUAAACUUAGCUACAGCGCAUUUCUUUGGCACGCACUAGUGGUAAGUAAUAGUAGCGCUUGUUUUUGCCCCGCGCUACUGGUAAGAUUAUGUAUAUAAGAUUUUCCCUAGUAGUGUUCUUGUGAUGUGUAUUACUGAGACAGCUCUAGAGAUACCUCUCCGAUACUCGGAGUGACAAAUUCAUACUCGAUCUAUGCCAACUCAACAAACACCUGUAUAGCAUCUUUAUGAUUGCCCAGUUACGUUGUGACAUUUGAUAGCUCACAAGGUAUUCCUCCGAUAUCCGGGAGUUGCAAGAGUUGAGUGACUGAACUCAUCGCUCACUUGUAUUCACAUAUCGCAGGGGUAUUUAUACAUGAAGAGGUACAAGGGGGCGAGGGAGAGAACGUGUACAAUGGCUUUGGCCGAGCAUGUCGUGCAUGCGAGGUGGGCGUGCCCACGAUGUGCACGCCCCUGCUGCACUGACGGAGAGAACAGGUCAAGGCCGUUGGCCCUCUGCUGGUGUGCGUGUAGUAGACUUCCAACAGGCCCCCGCAGCCGAAACGUGGGGCUCCCGAAUAUUGAGGUCGGUCGGGAAGUCAAGGAAGAUGCUCGUCGGCAGCCCUUUGGUGAAGACGUCGGCGAACUGAGAGCUCGUUGGGACAUGGAGGACGUGCACUUUGUACGCUGGUGCUGGACAGGGUUGGUGGACAUGUGCAUCACACUCACGUUGUCGCAAUAGACAACAGUGGCACGCUCCGGGGGUUGAUGAAGCUCGCCAAGGAGUUGUCGCAACCAGACGGCUUCGGCGACGGCGUGCGCGACGGCGCGGUACUCGGCCUCCGCUCUAGAACAUGAGAUGGUGUGUUGCCGCUUCGAGGACCACGACACAAGGUUGCCGCCGAGGAACACAUAAUACCCCAAAGUGGAGCGGCGUGCGUCCGGGCACCCUGCCAAGAUGGUGUGGUGCCACGGAGGUAGCGCAAGAUGCAUUUGAGGAGCUCAAAGUGCGAGUCGCGUGGAGCGUGCAUGAAGAGACAACAAUGCUAAACUAUGUAGGAAAGGUCAGGGCGUGUGAGAGUGAUGUACUGUAGUGCACCGACGAGACUUCUGUAUUGUGAAGGAUCAUGGAAUAAUGGGCCGGCAUCUGCUGGAAGUUUUGCAUGUGUGUCCACUGGAGUGGGUAUGGGUUUGCAGUUUAGCAUCCCUGCCCGAUCAAGUAUCUCCAAGGCAUACUAUUCCUGUGAAAAAAACAGGCCAGCAGUAGUGGAGGUGAGAUUAAUGCCAAGAAAAUGAGGCAGUGACCCGAGGUCGGACAUGGCGAAUUCCUGGUGGAGUGAGGAGAUGAUGGACUAUAGUAGAGAAGUGGCGCUCGCGGUGAGGAUAAUGUGAUCCACAUACAACAGCAGGUAAGCUAGCUGUGUGCCACGAUGGAGGAUAAACAGAGAAGAGUCGGACCGAGAGGCCACAAACCCGAGCUGUAGCAGGUACAUGGUGAACCCGGAGAACCAUGCCCGCGGCGCUUGUUUCAGCCCGUACAGUGAGCUGUUCAUGCGGCGCACACAUGUGGGGUUGGUGGUGUCGACGGAGCCGGAGGGUUGCUGUGCGUAGACUGUCUCGCCGAGGUGCCCAUGCGAGAAGGCAUUCUUGACGUCGAGCUGGUGGAUCGCCCAAGAACACCCGGCGGCGAUGCUGAGCACGGUGCGGAUCGUCGCCGGUUUGACCACGGGACUGAAAGUCUCGCCGUAGUCGAUGCCGGCUUGCUGCGUGAACCCUUGGAGCACCCAACGAGCUUUAUAGCAAGCCAGGGAGCCGUCUAGAUGAAAUUUAUGCCGGUAUAUACACCUUCCUGUAACCACGUUAGAACCUGCAGGACGAGCAACCAAAUCCCAAGUGUUAUACUGCAAAAGCGCGUUAAACUCCUCUAGCAUAGCACGGUGCCAGUUGGGAUCUUUCAAAGCCACUCGGUAGGAAGAGGGGAUAGGACUAAUGGCGGAUGACGCAGAGGCAUGCAGGCUGAGCUGAUUUUUGGGAAGAAGGAAUCCCGAAUUGGCACGGGUGCGCAUAUUGUGCAGAUUAGCGAGUGGGUCGAUAGGAACGGCCCUGGGCGGGAGUUUCAGGACAGGUGGCGCUGGGUAGCUGGUCGAGGCGAUUGGCAUGGGGUCAGCACGGCUGGAGGCCGGAGUGGUGGCCUGAUCUGUCGGGGCGUCGGGUGGCAUGGCGCUAGCUGGCGAGCGUGGGGUGGAGGGAGGGCUGAUAGCGCGGAUCCCGCGGGCGGCUGGUGAGGUGCUUGGGCGACGUAGUUUGGUGCUGGGUGCAGCUGGAUUCGAGGAAGAUCCUCUGCGGGGCCAGUACGAGGUAGGUAAGUGCGCCGCUCGGGGAGGAUGUGUUCGGUGAGAUCUUCUGCGGCCGCGUGAUCCGGGGAACGAGGCUGAGGUGGGUUAACGAACGGAAAAACAGUCUCGUCAAAAGCAACGUGAUGCGAGAUGAUGACCUAUGCUCAAGGGGAUACCCAAUGAACGCACAACGAACGGCACACGGAGAAACUUUAUGCUCGGUGGUGGGGUAUACGUUGGGAAAGCAGAGACACCCAAAAACUUUGAGAUGAUCAUAUGUGGGAUACACGCCGUAGAGACGAAAGAAGGGUGUGUCGUUGCGGAUGGCGGAGGAUGGUCGUCAGUUGAGGAGGUGUGUAGCUGUAUGAAGAGCCUCGACCCAAAAGUUUGGAGGAAGGUGUGCAUGGAGAAGGAGGGUGCGGAGCACGUCAUUUGUUGUGCAGAUCAUGCGUUCAGCCUUACCGUUUUGAUGUGAAGUAUACCCGCAAGAGAGGCAGAGAGAGGAACCGUGGGACGAGAGGAAGUCACGGAGCGAGGUGCUGAGAAACUCACCGCCGUUGUCGCACUGUAUGCAUUUGAUGAAUACAUGGAAUUGCGUUACUAGGUAUGCGAAGAAACGGAGUAAGAUAAUGGACGUAUCAGAUUUAGCACGUAGUGGGAAAGUCCACGAAAAAUGAGAGAAGUUGAUGCGGAGCAUCCUAUGAACAUCACCAUGUCAAGAAUCCCAUCGCUAAGAGACACGUUCGACUUCUACUUCAAUCAUACUAAGGUGAAUUCCAUCCUUAAUGUGUGUCUUCUUAGUUCCCUUGAGGACGGUAUACUACUUGACCGUCCUACCAUGUGCCCAUAUAGGUUUGAGCCCGAUGAUGAACGUGCCAUGGAGGAGGUCAACCACAAGCGAGCGCCUACACCAUCCUUGAGAGAAGCAUGGAAACGUAGAAGGAACCGUCAAGGAGAAGACGAGGUUCCACCUACACCGACGGGAGUCCACGAGGAGACGUGCUGCGAGCUUCAGGACACCCCGUGCGCACGGGCACGUGGACCCCGUGCCCACGGUACAAGCCCGUGCACACGGGCUACUGGCCAGCACUCUGGAUACCCCGUGCGCACGGGGCCUCCUGCGUGUGACCGUUGGGCUUUGCCUUGUAUUCCCAUUUCGCCCCUCCUUACGCCUUCAUCCCUUGGACCUAUAUAUACUCCUUCAUCUCCUCCAUUUAGGGAUAGCUAAGAAUAGACACAAAUCAUAGAGCUUAGCUCAUGUACCUCCCCUUGUGGGAUUCGUCUUGAGAGAGAAGGCUCCAUUGGAGUACAAGACCUCCAUUGGAGAAGAACCCUAGGGAUGCAAGCCCCCCCUUUGGGGAAGGAUCUACCUAGAUCAUCAAGCCCUCAUCUCCUUCAUAGGAUUUGGGAUGAACUAUACCAUGUAUCUUGUUUCCCUUUGAUUGUUCAUGUACCUUGUGGAUCUUGUGUGUUUGUUGGUCUAGUGGAUGUGUGAUUGGACUUGUUCUUGAGUGUUCCUCUUGUUUUCCCUCCUUGUGUUCAUCUUAUUCUUGGGGAUUCCCCCUCCAAUUCAUGAAAGAUCUCUCCAUAGGGUUCCACCCUACAACAUCUUGGUAUCAUGAGCCAUGGUUUCUCACGAAAUUGGAGCCCCCUUCGUGUUUUCUAGCCUUGUUUUGUGUGAUUUCGUCCUAAAUUCGAAAAUUUUCCACCAAAAAUAGCCCCAAAAUUUUUUGUGAUUUGUUGGUUUGAUGAGGUUUUGUUGGAUUUGAUCAAUGGAUUUGCUUGGUUUCAAGUGGUUCUAGCUUUCCUCCACCUUCCUCGACCUUCCAUCCUUCAAUUUUGACCGCAAUUUCGAGAUUACCCACGGAUCCGGAGCAGUUCGUCCGCUCACAGAACACCCCAUGCAUAGGCGACCCCGUGAACACGGGCCAGACAGACCCCGUGCGCACGACCCUUCCAGUGUGCUUCGGCCGCUGCCCCUUCGACCUCCCACCCUCCCAUGCCACCCCCAUACCCCUAGCUAAACCCCAGCAACGAGAUCCAUCCAGUUGGAGCCCAGAUCGGGAAGAAAUCCGCCAAACCCGCAUCUCCCAGGUGACCCCGUGCCCUCGGUGUGUGUACCGUGCGCACGGCACCCCGUGCCCACGGGCCCUAGACCCCGUGCUCACGACCCCGUGGUAUCCCAUCAUUGUACAUUCUUGCCAUUACAUUGUUAACCCCUUAGCCCAUUUUUGCGUCACUUACCUAUCGAGACUAGCCUUUGAGUAUUGCCGGCAACGUUACUUGUGCACAUUAGUGAUCAUUGGUCUACACCUUCCAUUGCAUACAUACCAUAUCAUAUUGGUAUCAUCUUGGAUCAUAUCCUCUCUUGUGUCACAAGAUUGAUCCCGCAUAUACACAAUUGCUAUCCUAGUUUGUGCAUUUCGCAUAGUGGCCAUAUAAAAAAAAAUAAUAAGCUUUUAAGCAAAAGAAAAGAGAGCAAAGAGCUUGUAAUAAAGUGCCAUAGCAUCACACCACAUUGCAUAAGAUUGCCAUAUCCAAUCAUCUUGGACCAAACAACGGGAACAUCAUACACAUAGCAUACUUGGGAUAGAAAGCUCAUACAUUUUGCAUCUUAUAGGUUGUGCACAAGUGUCGUAUCCGCCUAUUGAGCAAUCGUGCUAGCGUCUCUCUUGAGUUGUGCAACACGAGCAUUUUCCGUGGAUUCCACAUUUUGUGCUCAUACCUUGGUUGCACGACCCCAUUUUAUCUAUCCGUGUGUGUGUUUCCGUGUACCACAUAUUGCUAUUGGUCUACUUGUUUCUCUUGCGAAAUUGUGAAUCUUUUCCAACAUUAUUGACUCUUGCUAACAUUUUUCAUGAAAUUUGUGCCACUUUUCCUAACCAAGCCACUCGAUAAGCUUUUACUUGUAGGUGUGAGUGAACAAGUCCGGUACCAAUUCCACUAUUCUUUCAUCUCACAUUGAGUGAUACGAGAUACAUCCUCAACUUUGGGAAAAGGUAGCUUGGUAUUGUUUAUCUCAUUUCCGACCCACCUUUGCUCGAGUCUUGUGAUGGAUAGGCAAAGCACAUCAUCUCUGGUCUACAACCACGACGACGAGUUCGAUGCUAUGAAGAACUUCAUCGAUGCCAAGAUGGACAAGCACAUGGAGGAGCUCAAGGUCCUCAUCAAGAACGACAAGCGGUCUUCCUCAUCUUGGAGAAGACGCUCAAGUGCAAAGACUUCCGUGCUACCAUCCCCAGCAAGUGCACACAAGCAUCGACAUCGACAGGACCAUGAAGAGUGACCUCCUGGACGAGAGUUGGCUUCUCUGCCACCCCCGUGCACACGAGCCCUCAACCCCCGUGCACACGGGACCACAUGCAUGCGGCCUCCGACGACCCCGUGCGCACGGGCUAUACAGAGCUGCGACAUCAACCUCAAGACUACCGCUUCUUCAACACCUUUGGCAUCUUUGCCAAGUAACUUCAAGGCAUCUUCGCCUUCGGAUGUACGGCAUCUUCGCCUACUCCACGAGCUCAAGUCCACUACUCCCUCAAGCUACUACGACCUCGACACCAACCACGAGAUUCCUUUCUAUGGGACUCUAGAACCCGAGGAGUAUCUCGAGUAGGAGCGUUUGAUGGACGACUACCUCAAGCUACAUCAAGUCCCUCACGAAGAUCAAGUGAAGUGCGCCUCAAGAAACUUCCAUGAUUACGCGUCCACAUGGUGGCUUCACACACCUUUGGAGAGCUACGACAUGAGUUGGCCCAAGACGAAGAAAGCUAUGCGGCGAGAGUUCGUGCAUCCAACCUACAUGGAACAACUUCUACGCCAAUUGGAGAACACCAUCCAACGAUCCAAGUCCAUCGGCGAGGUACUUCAAGGAGAUGAAGCAUGCCUUGCGACGUGCCGGCGUGGACGAUCCCAUGUCAAUGAAGUUCCACUUCAUGAUGGGAUUGAACAACGACAUCUCCAGGACUAUCUUCCUCGCGAACUACAAGUCCCUCGAGGACAACUACAUUGGUGCUCUCAAGGCGAAACAAGAACUCAUGAAGACCAAGGCUUGUCCACCCAAAGCACACUUCGCGGCGAACAAGCUCUAUGACCACGAUCAUGAGGAUAGUACCACCACGAUGUCCAAGUCCGACGAGCUCCAAGACGAUCCUCCCAAGUUCGACUUCACCGCCAUACCACUUUGUGGCAUUGAUGAUGCCGAGUCCUCCACGACUCUUUUUCAAGAUGGUGCGGCAACAAGUACGACUACGGAGACCUUCAAGGACCAAGCUUUGGAGGCAAGCGACAUGGUGACGAGCAAGGAUGAUGCUUCCAUCUUAGGAGGCGAGAGUGAUGUUGUGCCAUCUUCGGUCUUCAUCCACGGCGACGGUGAUGAGAUGAUUAAGCAUGGGAUUUUCCCUUCGGUCAUGGAGGAGAGUGACUUCACCACUAGCCCCAUAUAUGAUGUGUUGCCCCAAUUCCCAUGUGAGGAGAGCCACCGCCACCACCACAUGAGUGAUUUGAGUGACUCCACCAUAUGCGACAUUGAGUGCACCUACCUUGAGGGAGUGAGUGGGCCACCGCCACAUAGAGAGAGUGAGAUAGUUGAUGAGGCAUAUGAGGCCAUUUCGCUUUCUAACAACUUAACCUCUACCUCUAUUGUGUCUUCUCCUUUGGUGCUAGGUUCCAUAUAUGAUGACGCGCCGAUCCUAGACAUCUUCGUCCUCCCUUUGGACAUGACUAUGGCCAUGGUGGAAUAUGGUGCACCCCCCACAUGGUUCCAUCACGAUGAAGAUGACCAUGAUUUGGUCUUUCCCACCUCACCUACACCACUUGAGUGGAAUGAACAAGGUAACAUAGGUUAAGGUGAUGCUCUAGUCCCACUAGUGGACAUUCUUGACAUUGAUUGCUUGCAUGAUGUUGAUCCACCUAUUCCCAUGCUUCAUGCUAGUGCGACUUCCUCAUGUCAUGACUUACCACUUUAUGAUGAAUAUGAUGAUGCAUGUUGAAGUGCCUAGUUGUGAUGCCAUGUUACAUAGGAUUUCGUGUGACAAUUCUCUAGGUCACAUCAUGUUUGACAAUCCGCUUGACUUGUCAUAUGCUAUGCAUGAGAUCAAUCAUAUGUCUUAUUUGCAAUGUCAUCAUAGUGACUAUGCAUAUGCCAUUAAAAUUAAUCUAAUUUGCACUUAUGGCAUAGAUGACAAGCCCAUGGUUAUUGGCAUUUGUUUCUCUUGUGAUGAUAUUGAUAUGCUCCCUUUGCAUCAUUUAUCUCAUAUGCCAUGCCACGACCACCUAGCUUCGGAUAUGCAUUGUUUUGGAUGUUGUCCAUUUUCUCCAUAUGAUGUUUCCGAUUUUGCUCAUGAGGAGACCCCCAUAGUUUUCUCAUACAUGUUAGUAGAUUUUGAUCCAUCCCAUCCAUUGCAUGAUCCCAAUACUUGUGUGCACCAUAUGCUCCCCAUGAAUAAGAAUGCUAUUGAUGUGCCAUAUAAUUGCAUACUUGAUUUGUGUCCUCAUCAUGUCAUACAUAACAACUAUUCUUUCAUGAUGGAUGACAUGUUCUUAUACCAUGCAUCAAAUUUCUUUGAACGAUGCGUAUCUUGUGCUAACUCACACAUGCACAUACACAUCAUGAUGGAUGAUGUGUACAUUUACCACGCACACACAUUCUUUCGUUUGUGUCUCUUUUGUGUAGGUACCCAUGAACACUCGUCAAUCUCACAAUCCCACGAGUUGACGAAACGAGCUCUUGAGAGCAACGAUGAUUUGGGAUACCAUGGGGUUUCAUUCCCACCACUCCCUUCGCGCAAAGACUUCGCGCAUUUCUUCUACAUGGCCCUCACAUGGCUAUGGGUUAUAUACCACUUCUCACUUUAUGCCCAUAUUUCCAUGUUCACUAUGCUUGAUAUGAUCAUUCAUAUGCCUUUGUCAUGCAUUUGUGACCCAUGCUUUGCAUUACACAUGAUGAUUGAUUCUAGUACUUGUAUGUGUAUUUGCAAGCUUGGUGGAGAUAUCACUUGUUAUUGCCAUGUUUGCUUUGUGCCCCAUGCCUAUGAUGAUACUAUGAUCUUGCUUUGUGUUCGUGCUUGCGAUAUGUCAUGUGCAUUGUCUAUGCCCACUAUUUGCAACCAUGACAUGAUUCACUUAAUUGCCUCACACAUGUUGAAAAAUUGCUCUUUACUUCGUGUUGAGUGCCAUGAUAUCUUCACUACACCCUAGGCACAUCAUGCUUGGAUUGUCUUGCACUUGCCCCAUAUGUUUAGACAUCUCAUUAUAUUCGGUGUUGUGAAUGAUUCAUAUGCAUACCAUAGACCAUUUGUUGAGCGCUUUAUGCAUUCUUGCUAUGAUCUUGAGGUAGAUGCUUGUUCACGUCACACAUAUUAGCAUAUUUCCCUCCCAUUGGCAUACUUGUUUCCAUGAUGUCCUUGAUUGUGCUCAACUUACAUGCUUAAAUGCCAUGCCACACUUCUUUGUCAAACCAUAUGCUAGGCUUGAUGACAACACUUGUUGGGUGAAUCACCUCUUGAAUGCUUGGUUUUGCUCUUACGCCAGCCACAUUUGUUUUUCCAAGUGCUUGUCGUCUUUGCUCCUUUUGAAGGAAUUACAAGACGCUGCGACAUUGGAGAGUGCCCAUUUGAAACUACAAGAUGAUGCAUGCUUGGUGAUCGUCAACUCCUACACGGCAACAUCAUCUCUUUCCCAUGGUGAUUUGGAUUACGAUUCGUUGUCAGAUCUUUACCAAGGGGGAGGGGAUGAUGCGGAGCAUCCUAUGGACAUCACCAUGUCAAGAAUCCCAUCGCUAAGAGACACGUUCAACUUCUACUUCAAUCAUACUAAGGUGAAUUCCAUCCUUAAUGCAUGUCUUCUUAGUUCCCUUGAGGAUGGUAUACUACUUGACCGUCCUACCAUGUGCCCAUAUAGGUUUGAGCUCGAUGAUGAACGUGCCAUGGAGGAGGUCAACCACAAGUGAGCACCUACACCAUCAUCGAGAGAAGCAUGAAAACGUAGAAGGAACCGUCAAGGAGAAGGCAAGGUUCCACCUGCACCGACGGGAGUCCACGAGGAGACGUGUUGCGAGCUUCAGGACACCCCGUGCGCACGGGCCCUUGGACCCCGUGCCCACGGUACAAGCCCGUGCACAUGGGCCACGUCGCCAGCUCUCUGGAUACCCCGUGCGCACGGGGCCUCGUGCGUGUGACUGUUGGGCUUUGCCUUGUAUUCCCAUUUCGCCCCUCCUUACCCCUUCAUCCCUUGGACCUAUAUAUACUCCUUCAUCUCCUCCAUUUAGGGAUAGCUAAGAAUAGACACAAAUCAUAGAGCUUAACUCAUGUACCUCCCCUUGUGGGAUUCCUCUUGAGAGAGAAGGCUCCAUUGGAGUACAAGACCUCCAUUGGAGAAGAUCUCUAGGGAUGCAAGCCCCCCCUUUGGGGAAGGAUCUACCUAGAUCAUCAAGCCCUCAUCUCCUUCAUAGGAUUUGGGAUGAACUCUACCAUGUAUCUUGUUUUUCUUUGAUUGUUCAUGUACCUUGUGGAUCUUGUGUGUUUGUUGGUCUAGUGGAUGUGUGAUUGGACUUAUUCUUGAGUGUAACUCUUGUUUUCCCUCCUUGUAUUCAUCUUGUUCUUGGGGAUUCCCCCUCCAAUUCAUGAAAGAUCUCUCCAUUGGGUUCCACCCUACAACAGAAGUCAUCAAGGAUGACAAGGUAAAAUUGGUAACCGGAUAAGCUAGGAACGGGGGAAUUCCAGAGGUUGCAGUGUAUCAUAUCGAAGGGAGCAGUAGUACACGAACGAGAGGAUGAAAAAGGUAAUCUGGAUUGCUUGCCUAACUGGGAGGACUCACAAAUAUGGAAAUUCAAACUAUCUCUAUUACAUGGUGAUUGAAGAAAAGUUUUACUCCCUCCUUCCAUCUAUAUAGGGCCUAAUUCGUUUUUUAAGACCGCCUUUGACUAUUGACAAGAUUAAUAGUACAUGACAUGCACAAUGUGAAAAUUAUAUCAUUGAAAUCUCCUUUCACACACAAAUUUAACGGUGUGCUUUGUGUAAGUUGCAUGUCAUAUAUUAUUGCUCUAAUAUUUGGUCAAAGUUAGUCUCGAAAAACGCAUUAGGCCCUAUAUAGAUGAAAGGAGGGAGUAGCUAAGAGUGAAAGGGAAUUACUGCUAAGAUGCCCAAGGCGUUGAUGCCACAGCUGCCAUCGACGGAGAGGAUCUGCUGGACUGCAGCGGAGCUGAAGAACGGAUAUAAAUCUCCAUGGCUACUGGACGUAAUUAGGAUGCGCUGGGUACAAGAACAUGAGCGGCGAACACGAUUGUACAAGAAUGGGUUAUACUAUGUAUGAGAUGAGGGCUCGGCGGGGGCCUUCCCCUUGUCCUUCUGGUUCCCGGAGACGUUGCAGUCGCCGCGAGCGCCCCCGGAGGAGCCGUCGAAGGUGUUGCCGAUGGAGAGCAUGGUGGCGCCGUCCGAGCGCCCGUCAGCUCGAGCGCGCUCGUUCUGUGUGAUCUCCUCAAGAAGGAGGCGCGACCGGGCCUGCGCGAAGUUGGGGAACGGCAUGCAACGGUAGGACCGUCGCGAGCAUGUGGAACCGACGACUGAGGCCGUGGGUGAACUGGAGCGUCAAGGUGCGGUCGGUGACGGGCUCCUCAACGUCGGCGAGCGCGGCUGCCAGCGUCUGUAGACGGCGAGCGUACUCGGCCACAGUCAGGUCGCCCUGCAUCGUGCCGCGGAACUCAGCCGAGAGAUGGAUCGCUCGACCGGCCUGGUUGUUGAGGAAGAACAGCUGGAGGGUGUGCCAGAUUUGGUGCGCCGUGGGAAUGUUCGGAGGGGACACCACGACGUCGUACAACUCAUCAGAAAUCGUGGAGGUUAUCCACAAGACGAUGGUUAUAUCGUCGUUUCGCCACACUGCAUCCUCGUUGGCGGGGUCCCGGUCUUCAUCUACAUGUUGCUGCGCAUUGUACUUGCAGAGAAUACAAUAGAAGAGGUGGCGCCAUUUGGAGUAGUUACCCGCGGCGAGGUCGAGGUUGAACCGCAGGAAGUGCGUGAUGGUGGGAGGGAGACCGUCGGCUGGCGCCUGCGCCGGCGCCGGCGCACCCGCGAUGUCAAUGCAAGGGAUGAGCUCACGGGAGGCGCCGUAGUGAAGGGGAGCUGAAGGAGGUGCCGCUGGAACGGCUGCAGGCCCCGCGGGUACGACAUUGCCGAGGAACACUGGGUCGGGCGCCGGAGCCCGAGGAUGGAGGCCCGCGCCGGGAGCUGCAUGGGCGGGUGGGACGGCAGCAAGAGGGAGGUUGGCCGCCGCGUCGAGGUCAGCCGAGGGGGAGCGGCGGAGCAGGCGAUUCAUGGCGGAAGCGUGGGGUUGGGAUCGGAACUGCUCAGGUACCAAGUUGAAUGACCGAACUCAUCGCUCACUUGUAUUCACAUAUCGUAGGGGUAUUUAUACAUGGAGAGGUACAAGGGGGCGACGGAGAGAAAGUGUAGAAUGGCCGUGGCCGAGCAUGCCGUGCAUGCGAGGUUGGCGUGCCCAUGAUGUGCACGCCCCUGCUGAACUGACGGAGAGAAUAGGUCAAGGCCGUUGGCCCUCUGCUUGUGUGCGUGUAGCAGACUUCCAACAGCAUAACCUAAUGGUCGAGGGAAUAUAUAUUUGACAUUAAGAAAGCAGUAGCAAUAAACUGAACGAUCGUAUGGUAAGCUAACGGAUAGGUUUUAUCCAUCACAUCAUUCUCAUAAUGACGUGAUCUCGUUAUCAAAUGACAACUCAUAUCUGUGGUUAAGAAACCUUAACCAUCUUUUCAUCAACGAACUAGUCUAGUAUAGGAUCAUUAGGGACACCGUAUUUGUUUAUGUACCCACACAUGCAUUUAAGUUUUCAGUCAAUACAAUUCUAGCACGAAUAAUAAACCUUUAUCAUGAAUAAGGAAAUAUAAUAAUAACAACUUUAUUAUUGCCUCUCGAGCAUAUUAACAUCAAUAUUUGCACGAAUGUUACCAUCGCUCAAUUCGUGGACUAGUGGCACAUAUGUAGGGGGCGCUGGAAGUGAUUAGAUAAUGUUGCAUUCGUAGGAUCAAUGAGAUGCCAUUUAGUAUCGGAGAGAAAUUUAUUAUGAGGGUAAUAGCUGUGAUGGGAACAUGUGAUGGGAACACACAUCAGGCUGAAGUACAAGAGGGGGGAAGGCAAGCGUAAACUUUGACGGGUAGGAGGAGAAGGCUGAAUGCCAACAACGACAUGUACCAAUAAAUGCGAGGAGGUCAUGGCAGGAGGUGAACAGAGCAAUGAUCUCGUGGACAAGGCAGUCUAGAAGGUCUGCCCAACCUAGGGGCGUAGAACUGUCGGGGAAGAUGGAGACCAGGUCAUGGCAGGCCUUUUUAGAGGAACUUUGACUGUCUUUCAUAAUAUGAACUUCUCUGUCAAACACAAUAAACCAAGAUCAACACAUUAGAAGCGAGAACAUAUAAAAAUGGAAAUAAUAGCUAGUCAAAUGGUAGAAAUAUGGGAACAUCUGUUAUCUUUAUGGUAUUAAUUAAUAGAACAAAUGCAUUGAGUUCGGAUAGACAUGGGUUAGUCCGCUCUGUUUCUCUUUUUACUCCUCUCUGUUUCAUUAUGGUCUCCGAGCAGAUAUGCACCUAUGCUAAACUUUGGUAACAGCUAAUUAAUGACAAAAAUGCAGAAAUGUGAUAAUAUACUCGCACCAUUAUAUUAAAAAAAUAACUGACAUAUAAAUGAUUUUUUUGUAAUUUCCUCCUUGUCUGCUGAACAUUUUUAACCACUAGUACUUGAAGCGAUUUUUCAGGUGAUAGAACAACAUUCAUGUCAUGUACUCGACAUGGCAAAGUAGAUGAUGAAAAGAAAAUAGGAUCUUAUAGAACCACAUUCACAAGCUAUAUAGGUUAAAAAAGAUGCAAUUAGUAAGGAAGACAAACAUGUCAUAUCUGGCAAAGACGAGCAUACAUUCAGUAACAAUCAGGCUGACUUUUUUACUGCAUCACUAGAAGAACUGAAGAAGAGUAUCGGUCAAGUAUGAGAUGUGGCAACUGGCUGGUGUGGUGCAAUAAGAAGUUUACGUCUGUCGGUGUACAAAAGUAGGGCACUUCUUUUUACCCCUUUACUUGUGCACGGACAGUCAGAGCCGUGCCGACGGCCACAGUAAGCAAGGCAGAGGAGGGAAACCGGAAAGAAGCCGAAGCACAAGACAACCAAGGCAACACCAAGACGAGAAACACGGGAGAGCAAGAAGGCGAGGUAGGCUCCCUCGGCAAGAUCUUUGCUGAGGCAGCCUCCGCAGCCCCGGCAAGAGCCUUGCCGGGGCAACUUGCCCGACGCCAGCAGAGCGAGCCAUCCUUGAGCCCAUGGGUCCCAACACCACCAACUACAUUGGAACCAAGGCUCGGGAGGCACCGCUAUGGUGGCAUGCAGAUCUUCGUCAAGAUCAUAAACAUGUGAGACCAGAUGAGGACUAGAAGACGGCGACCCUCGGCGGGAUCCCAGCCGAGGGAAUCCACAAGACGCCCGGCAAGGGUUCCGGGGACGACUUCAACGCCACGGCAAGACCCUUGCCGGGUCCCCGGCAAGACCCUUGCCGAAGGCGUUAGCAGGGCCACUGCCAGGUCCGCGCCAGCCAAGACUCCACCGCCAUUCACAUGCAGCUGCCAGCCCAACCAGCUGGGCAGGCACCUCCGUGGCAACAUGCGGCUUCCAGUCCAACUCAGCAAGCACUUGCAUGGUGGCAUGCAGACCUUCGUGAAGGCCCUGCCACCGCGCCACCUCAGCAGCCUGCCUGCCUACAUGGCACUGCACACAUCGCUGGCCUGGGCGCGUGUCGAAGCGAGGCAGAGCGGUGAUGGACGGGAUGGGCCUCGUUCCCGUCCCUGAUAAAGCUAAUGAACACCUAAGUAGCGCAUUUAAUGCGCUUUGUCCCGUAAUGCCGGGCGAUAAGCUCGCGCACUGUAGACCUUUCCACCUCCUGUGUGCCACUGUGGCAACCCUUUUUGCCUAUAAAAGGAGGCCCGAGGUUACCAGGAGAGGGAUUCGGCUCUUUUGGGCACGUUGCACCAUGUAGCUAGCUCAAGAACACAAGAAUACUCAAAUACAUCCACCAAAGCAUGACUAGGGUUUUAUGCAUACUCGCGGCCCGAACCUAGGUAAACGACUCGUGUGCUUCCUGUCAGACUUGCUCUUUGCACAACCUCACGCCCGCCGACCGUAGAAGGGAUCCGAGUGACCCCAUAGGUGUCGUUCCGACCGACAUCUUUGGCGCGCCAGGUAGGGGACGCGGCGUCGUUGUGGAAAUCCGGUCUAGCAGUUCUUCAUCGCCAUGGCUCCCAUGAAAAGGCGGUCGGUUCGUUGGGAGCCGGACGGCCCGUACCAGUGCGGGCGAGCAGCGCGCCGGUCGCGGACAGGACCCGAGGCGCAACCCGCGAGCACCAACAUCGCUCUGGCAGUCAGAGCCUGGCGAGCGGCGUCAUUCGUGCGCAAGACGACGGGCCGCACGCCGCAAAAUCCAGAGACGGAGCUGGGCCCCCCGCAGGCUGCGUGGGGCCCUCCGGGUUCACCGCCGUACCACCCACGGGCUGUGCGGCAACCUCCAAGACGCCCACCCCGGCGCCCACAGCGCCCUCUUCCCAUGGUGUGUGUGACGAGCAGCGUUACCACGCUGGUGACCCUGGACAGCGCCGUGGGAAGAGCCCUGUGCAUCAUCUGCGGGACGAAGGAGGCCAGCAUGCCCGCCGAAGUGCUGGCGAAAAUGGCACUUAGCCGCCGGGCCGUGAUAGAGCUCCUUCUAACGUGGUUAGCAGUCGAAGUGCGCCACGGUCCACGCAGCUUUCGCCACCACCCAUGCCAGCAGAAGCUUUGGCGCGCGCGCAGCUGCUCCUCGGCUGCCCUCCUGCUGCAGAGAAGCUCGACGAGUGGAGAGCCACAAUCCGGAGCCUCGUCGUCAUCGCCAACAAAUAUGAUCCGCGACUGGCGGGGCCCUCGGGCCGGCGCUCCGUCGAGCCACCACAUGCCAGCAGUGGAAGGACCGGGGGAGCUGCUGCCACAGUGCACUCUCCUCCCCCGUGCCAGUUGCCGCCGGUGCCGGUCCGUCGUGACGACGCUUGUGAUAACAUUUCCAUCACGUCGUCCGACCCACGGACCCACCGCGAUCAGCGUCAGGUCCUUCAGGAGCGAGCCCACGAAGACGCUCGAACCACCAUUGAGUGCCGGCGCGAUACACGCCCCCAGUCGGAUAAGCGGGCGGGGCCCGCUAUGGACCACCCAGCACCGGGGGGCUCCGGCGGCGUACCUUAUGAGGUGGGUUGCCCUUACCCGUGAGCUGCGGUAGUUCCAGUGGCCGUCCCACCGCAUGUUCAAGCCCGACGUCGGGGAGAAGUACAAUGGAAAGACCCAUCCGUCGGAGUUCCUCAGCAUCUACACCAUCACGAUGCAAGCUGCUGGAGCUCGCGACGACAAGGUGCUUGCCAAUUACUUCCCGUUGGCAUUGAAGCCCAACGUCAUGUCUUGGUUGAUGCACUUGUUGGCGGAUUUCAUUUCUUCUUGGUCGGAUCUGUGCCAUGAGUUUGUUGCUGCCUUCAUAGGAGGCCACCAAGCUCAUGGUCAGGCCAGUGAUUUGCAUAUCAUUCCCCGGGUGCAGUACAUACAGAGGUUCAUCCGGGUGCAGUACAACAUCCCUGAUGUUCAUCCCGCCGCCGUGAUUAGCGUGUUCCAUCAGAACGUGCGCAAUCGCAAGAUGCGUGAGGAGCUGGCGAUGAGCAAGGUUAAGGAUGUGGCCGAACUUUAUGUUCUGCCCGACAGGUGCGCUCGGGCUGAAGAGGGAAGGAAAUACCACGACGAGGACGCCGGCAUGAAGACAACGCCGCCCCGACGAAGAAGGGCCGGCGUUGCAACAGGAAACGGAAGGGCAAGACCGUGCUUGCCGUCGAGGGAUCCGACGACACCGGCGCUGCCAAGAAGGCCAAGGUAGACGACCCCGGCAAGGAGAUUGCCGGGUGCGCCUCUUGUCGGGCCUUCACGGCUGUCGACAAGCCAGGGGGCUCCGACAAGCAGUACUGCAAGAUCCACCGUACCAAAGGCCACGACCUCCAGAACUGCAGACAAGUUGAGCUGCUUGCCGAAAAGCAAAAAGCUGAGUAUGAGAGGCGGGACAAGGAGAAGGGCCAAGAUGGCGCUGAAGGAUCCGGCAAGAAGCGUGGCGGCCAAGGAGGUCGUCGCGGCAAGGAUAACCAGCAAGAGAGGCCCUCUCGGGGCCGUGACAAGAAGCAGGAAGACGAGGAUCAUGACGAGGAUGACGAGUCGGGCGAGCAAGAGUUUCAGAAGGCUACCGAGGCCAUGUGCGUCGAUGCUGGCGCCUCGCUGCAUACUUCUCACUGCCAGCUCAAGCAGUGGGUGCGUGAGAUCACAGCAGCGGAGCCAUCGUUCGACACUCAGAAGCCGCUGAAAUGGUCCAGCACGCCCAUCAUCUUUGACGCAGAGGACCACCCUGACUGCACCACUGCGGUCGUGUGCUUGCCGUUGUUGGUCUCACCAACGAUACGCAACCUCAAGGUGAACAAGAUGCUGGUUGACGGCGGGGCCGGUCUGAACUUAAUCUCGCCCGUUGUGAUCAAGGGGCUCCAAAUUCCCGAUGGAGACCUCGAGGAGACGGGCACGUUUCAAGGGGUUAAUCCGGAAGGAGCCAGCCGAAAGGGAAGUUCACGUUGCUUGUGUUGGGGAACGUUGCAGAAAAUUAAAAUUUUUCCUACGGUUUCACCAAGAUCCAUCUAUGAGUUCAUCUAAGCAACGAGUCAAGGGAGUGAGUUUGCAUCUACAUACCACUUGUAGAUCGAGUGCGGAAGCGUUCAAGGGGAUGGUGAUGAGGGAGUCGUACUCGCCAUGAUUCGGAUCACCGAUGACCAAGUGCUGAACGGACAGCACCUCCGCGUUCAACACACGUACGGGACGGUCGACGUCUCCUCCGUCUUGAUCCAACAAGGAGGAAGGAGAGGUUGAGGAAGGCAGCUCCAAUGGCAGCACGACGGCGUGGUGCAGUUGGUGCAGCAGUACUCCGACAGAGCUUCGCCAAGCACGUACGGAAGAGGAGAGGUGUUGGGGAGGGGAGGGGCUGCGCCUUGGCUUGUGUAUUGCAGCCCUCCCCUCACCCCUCUAUAUAUAGGGGAAGAGGGGCAAGAGGGGCCGUCCCUAUAGAUGGAACCCUAGAGGGGGGCGGCGGCCAAGGGAGAGGGGUGGCUUGCCCCCCAAGCAAGGGGGGCGCCCCCUUCUAGGGUUCCCCCCCCCCAAACCCUAGGCGCAUGGGCCCAUGGUGGGGGGCGCGCCCAGCCCACUAGGGGCUGUCUCCCUCUCCACGCAGCCCAAGUGGCCCCCCGGGAGGGGUGGCCCCUCCCGGUGGACCUCCGGAACCCUUCCGGUGGCCCCGGUACAAUACCGGUAUGCCCCCAAAACUUUCCGGUGUCCGUUUAACAACUUCCCAUAUAUAAAUCUUUACCUCCGGACUAUUCCGGAACUCCUCGUGACGGCCGGGAUCUCAUCCGGGACUCCGAACAACAUUCGGUAAUCACAUACAAGUCUUCCUGAUAACCCUAGCGUCACCGAACCUUAAGUGUGUAGACCCUACGGGUUCGGGAGACAUGCAGACAUGACCGAGACGCUCUCAGGUCAAUAACCAACAGCAGGAUCUGGAUACCCAUGUUGGCUCCCACAUGCUCCUCGAUGUUGUCAUCGGAUGAACCACGAUGUCAAGGAUUCAAGCAACCCCGUAUUCUAUUCCCUUUGUCAGACGGUAUGUUACUUGCCCGAGACUUGAUCGUCGGUAUCCCAAUACCUCGUUCAGUCUCGUUACCGGCAAGUCACUUUACUCGUACCGUAAUGCAUGAUCCCGUGACCAGACACUUGGUCACUUUGAGCUCAUUAUGAUGAUGCACUACCGAGUGGGCCCAGUGAUACCUCUCCAUAACACGGAGUGACAAAUCCCAGUCUCGAUCCGUGUCAACCCAACAGACACUUUCGGAGAUACCUGUAGCGCACCUUUAUAGUCACCCAGUUACGUUGUGAUGUUUGGUACACCCAAAGCACUCCUACGGUAUCCAGGAGUUACACGAUCUCAUGGUCUAAGGAAGAGAUACUUGACAUUUGAAAAGCUCUAGCAAAACGAACUACACGAUCUUGUGCCAUGCUUAGGAAUGGGUCUUGUCCAUCACAUCAUUCUCCUAAUGGCGUGAUCCCGUUGUCAAUGACAUCUGAUGUCCAUAGUCAGGAAACCAUGACUAUCUGUUGACCAACGAGCUAGUCAACUAGAGGCUUACUAGGGACGUAUUGUAGUCUAUGUAUUCACACAUGUAUUACGACUUCCGGAUAAUACAAUUAUAGCAUGAAUAAAAGACAAUUAUCAUGAACAAGGAAAUAUAAUAAUAAUGCUUUUAUUAUUGCCUCUAGGGCAUAUUUCCAACAGUCUCCCACUUGCACUAGAGGCAAUAAUCUAGUUACAUAGUGAUGAAUCGAACACCCAUAGAGUUCUGGUGUUGAUCAUGUUUUGCUCGCGAGAGAGGUUUAGUCAACGGAUCUGCGACAUUCAGAUCCGUAUGCACUUUACAAAUUUCUAUGUCUCCAUCUUGAACAUUUUCACGGAUGGAGUAGAAGCGACGCUUGAUGUGCCUGGUCUUCUUGUGAAACCUGGGUUCCUUGGCAAGUGCAAUAGCCCCAGUGUUGUCACAGAAGAGUUUGAUCAGCCCCGACGCAUUGGGUAUGACUCCUAGGUCGGUGAUGAAAUCCUUCACCCAAAUAGCUUCAUGCGCUGCCUCCGAGGCUGCCAUGUACUCCGCUUCACAUGAAGAUCCCGCCACGACACUCUGCUUGCAGCUGCACCAGCUUACUGCCCCACCAUUCAACAUAUACACGUAUCCGGUUUGUGACUUAGAGUCAUCCAGAUCUGUAUCGAAGCUAGCGUCGACGUAACCCUUUACGACGAGCUCUUCGUCACCUCCAUAAACGAGAAACAUGUCCUUUGUCCUUUUCAGGUACUUCAGGAUAUUCUUGACCGCUGUCUAGUGUUCCUUGCCAGGAUUAUUUGGUACCUUCCUACCAAACUUAUGGCAAGGUUUACAUCAGGUCUGGUACACAGCAUGGCAUACAUAAUAGAUCCUAUGGCUGAGGCAUAGGGGAUGACGCUCAUCUCUUCUUUAUCUUUUGCCGUGGUCGGGCAUUGAGCCGAGCUCAAUUUCACACCUUGCAGUACAGGCAAGAACCCUUUCUUGGACUGAUCCAUUUUGAACUUCUUCAAAAUCUUAUCAAGGUAUGUGCUUUGUGAAAGACCUAUGAGGCGUCUCGAUCUAUCUCUAUAGAUCUUGAUGCCUAAUAUAUAAGCAGCUUCUCCAAGGUCCUUCAUUGAAAAACUUUUAUUCAAGUAGGCCUUAAUGCUGUCCAAGAGUUCUAUAUCAUUUCCCAUCAAAAGUAUGUCAUCUACAUAUAAUAUGAGAAAUGCUACAGAGCUCCCACUCACUUUCUUGUAAACGCAGGCUUCUCCAUAAGUCUGCAUAAACCCAAACGCUUUGAUCAUCUCAUCAAAGCGAAUGUUCCAACUCCGAGAUGCUUGCACCAGCCCAUAAAUGGAUCGCUGGAGCUUGCAUACUUUGUUAGCAUUCUUAGGAUCGACAAAACCUUCCGGCUGCAUCAUAUACAACUCUUCCUUAAGAUAACCGUUAAGGAACGCUGUUUUGACGUCCAUCUGCCAUAUCUCAUAAUCAUAGUAUGCGGCAAUUGCUAACAUGAUUCGGACAGACUUAAGCUUCGCUACGGGAGAGAAAGUCUCAUCGUAGUCAAUCCCUUGAACUUGUCGAUAACCCUUAGCGACAAGUCGAGCUUUAUAGAUGGUAACAUUACCAUCCGCGUCUGUCUUCUUCUUAAAGAUCUAUUUGUUUUCUAUCGCUCGCCGAUCAUCGGGCAAGUCUGUCAAAGUCCAUACUUUGUUUUCAUACAUGGAUCCUAUCUCGGAUUUCAUGGCUUCGAGCCAUUUGUUGGAAUCCGGGCCCGCCAUUGCUUCUUCAUAGUUCGAAGGUUCACCGUUGUGUAACAACAUGAUUUCCAGGACAGGGUUGCCGUACCACUCUGGUGCGGAACGUGUGCUAGUGGACCUACGAAGUUCAGUAGCAACUUGAUCCGAAGUACCUUGAUCAUCAUCAUUAAUUUCCUCUCCAGUCGGUGUAGGCACCACAGGAACAUUUUCCUGAGCUGCACUACUUUCCGGUUCAAGAGGUAGUACUUCAUCGAGUUCUACUUUCCUCCCACUUACUCCUUUCGAGAGAAACUCUUUUCCCAGAAAGGAUCCGUUCUUGGCAACAAAGAUCUUGCCUUCGGAUCUAAGGUAGAAGGUAUACCCAAUGGUUUCCUUAGGGUAUCCUAUGAAGACGCAUUUUUCCGACUUGGGUUCGAGCUUUUCAGGUUGAAGUUUCUUGACAUAAGCAUCGCAUCCCCAAACUUUUAGAAACGACAGCUUAGGUUUCUUCCCAAACCAUAAUUCAUACGGUGUCAUCUCAACGGAUUUAGAUGGUGCCCUAUUUAAAGUGAAUGUAGCUGUCUCUAGAGCGUAUCCCCAAAAUGAUAGCGGUAAAUCGGUAAGAGACAUCAUAGAUCGCACCAUAUCCAAUAGAGUGCGAUUACGAUGUUUGGACACACCGUUACGCUGAGGUGUUCCAAGCGGCGUGAGUUGUGAAACGAUUCCACAUUUUCUUAAGUGUGUACCAAAUUCGUGACUUAAAUAUUCUCCUCCACGAUCUGAUCGUAAGAACUUUAUUUUUCGGUCACGUUGAUUCUCUACUUCAUUCUGAAAUUCCUUGAACUUUUCAAAGGUCUCAGAUUUGUGUUUCAUCAAGUAGACAUACCCAUAUCUACUCAAGUCAUCAGUGAGAGUGAGAACAUAACGAUAUCCUCCGCGAGCCUCAACACUCAUUGGACCGCACACAUCGGUAUGUAUGAUUUCCAACAAGUUUGUUGCUCGCUCCAUUGUUCCGGAGAACGGAGUCUUGGUCAUCUUGCCCAUCAGGCAUGGUUCGCAUGUGUCAAAUGAUUCAUAAUCCAGAGACUCCAAAAGUCCAUCAGCAUGGAGCUUCUUCAUGCGCUUGACACCAAUGUGACCAAGGCGGCAGUGCCACAAGUAUGUGGGACUAUCGUUAUCAACUUUACAUAUUUUGGUAUUCACGCUAUGAAUAUGUGUAACAUUACGUUUGAGAUUCAUUAAGAAUAAACCAUUGACCAUCGGAGCAUGACCAUAAAACAUGUCUCUCAUAUAAAUAGAACAACCAUUAUUCUCGGAUUUAAAUGAGUAGCCAUCUCGUAUCAAACGAGAUCCAGAUACAAUGUUCAUGCUCAAACUUGGCACCAAAUAACAAUUAUUAAGGUUUAUAACUAAUCCCGUAGGUAAAUGUAGAGGUAGCGUGCCGACGGCGAUCACAUCGACCUUGGAACCAUUCCCGACGCGCAUCGUCACCUCGUCCUUCGCCAGUCUCCGUUUAUUCCGCAGCUCCUGCUGUGAGUUACAUAUAUGAGCAACGGCACCGGUAUCAAAUACCCAGGAGUUACUACGAGUACUGGUAAGGUACACAUCAAUUACAUGUAUAUCAAAUAUACCUUUAGUGUUGCCAGCCUUCUUGUCCGCUAAGUAUUUGGGGCAGUUCCGCUUCCAGUGGCCCUUCCCUUUCCAAUAAAAGUACUCUAUCUCAGGCUUGGGUCCAUUCUUUGACUUCUUCCCGGCAACUUGCUUACUGGGUGCGGCAACCUCCUUGCCGUCCUUCUUGAAGUUCUUCUUGCCCUUGCCCUUCUUGAACUUAGUGGUUUUAUUGACCAUCAACACUUGAUGUUCUUGCUUGAUUUCAACCUCUGCUGACUUCAGCAUUGAGAAUACUUCGGGAAUGGUCUUCUCCAUCCCCUGCAUAUUGUAGUUCAUCACAAAGCUCUUGUAUCUUGGUGGGAGCGACUGAAGGAUUCUGUCAAUGACCGCCUCGUCCGGGAGGUUUAUGUCCAGCUGGGACAGGCGGUUGUGCAACCCAGACAUUUUGAGUAUGUGCUCACUGACAGAACUGUUUUCCUCCAUCUUACAACUAUAGAACUUGUCGGAGACUUCAUAUCUCUCGACCCGGGCAUGAGCUUGGAAAACUAGUUUCAGCUCCUCGAACAUCUCAUAUUCUCCGUGUUGCUCAAAACGCUUUUGGAGCCCCGGUUCUAAGCUGUAAAGCAUGCCGCACUGAACGAGGGAGUAAUCAUCAGCACGAGACUGCCAAGCGUUCAUAACGUCUUGGUUCUCUGGGAUGGGUGCAUCACCUAGCGGUGCUUCUAGGACAUAUUUUUUCUUGGCAGCUAUGAGGAUGAUCCUCAGGUUCCGGACCCAGUCCGAAUAGUUGCUGCCAUCAUCUUUCAGCUUGGUUUUCUCUAGGAACGCGUUGAAGUUCAUGGUGACAUGAGUGUUGGCCAUUUGAUCUACAAGACAUAUUGCAAAGAUUUUAGACUAUUGUUCAUGAUAAUAAAGUUCAUCUAAUCAAAUUAUUUUAAUGAACUCCCACUUAGAUUAGACAUCCCUCUAGUCAUCUAAGUGUUACAUGAUCCGAGUCGACUAGGCCGUGUCCGAUCAUCACGUGAGACGGACUAGUCAUCAUCAGUGAACAUUCUCAUGUUGAUCGUAUCUUCCAUACGACUCAUGUUCAACCUUUCGGUCUCCGUGUUCCGAGGCCAUGUCUGUACAUGCUAGGCUCGUCAAGUUAACCUAAGUGUUUUGCGUGUGUAAAUUUGUCUUACACCCGUUGUAUGUGAACGUAAGAAUCUAUCACACCCGAUCAUCACGUGGUGCUUAGAAGCAACGAACUUUAGCAACGGUGCACAGUUAGGGGAGAACACUUCUUGAAAUUCUUGUAAGGGAUCAUCUUAUUUACUACCAUCGUUCUAAGUAAACAAGAUGCAUAAACAUAAUAAACAUCACAUGCAAUUAUAUAGUAGUGACAGAUAUGGCCAAUAUCAUAUAUCUCCAUCUUCGGGGCUCCAUGAUCAUCUUAUCACCGGCAUGACACCAUGAUCUCCAUCAUCAUGAUCUCCAUCAUCGUGUCUCCAUGAAGUUGUCAUGCCAAUGACUACUUCUACUUCUAUGGCUAAUGUGUUUAGCAAUAAAGUAAAGUAAUUUACAUGGCGUCUUUCAAUGACACGCAGGUCAUACAAAAAUAAAGACAACUCCUAUGGCUCCUGCCGGUUGUCAUACUCAUCGACAUGCAAGUCGUGAUUCCUAUUACAAGAACAUGAUCUCAUACAUCACAAUAUAUCAUUCAUCACAACUUCUGGCCAUAUCACAUCACAUGACAAUUGCUGCAAAAACAAGUUAGACGUCAUCUAAUUGUUGUUGCAUCUUUUACGUGGCUGCAAUUGGGUUCUAGCAAGAACGUUUUUUUACCUACGAAUAACCACAACGUGAUUUUGUCAACUUCUAUUUACCCUUCAUAAGGACCCUUUUCAUCGAAUCCUCUCCAACUAAAGUGGGAGAGACAGACACCCGCCAGCCACCUUAUGCAACUAGUGCAUGUUAGUCGGUGGAACCGGUCUCACGUAAGCGUACGUGUAAGGUUGGUCCGGGCCGCUUCAUCCCACAAUACCGCUGAAGCAAGAUAAGACUAGUAGCGGCAAGCAAGUUGACAACAUCCACGCCCACAACAAAAUUGUGUUCUACUCGUGCAAAAGAGAACUACGCAUAGACCUAGCUCAUGAUGCCACUGUUGGGGAACGUUGCAGAAAAUUAAAAUUUUUCCUACGGUUUCACCAAGAUCCAUCCAUGAGUUCAUCUAAGCAACGAUUCAAGGGAGUGAGUUUGCAUCUACAUACCACUUGUAGAUCGAGUGCGGAAGCUUUCAAGGGGAUGGUGAUGAGGGAGUCGUACUCGCCGUGAUUCGGAUCACCGAUGACCAAGUGCUGAACGGACAGCACCUCCGCGUUCAACACACGUACGGGACAGUCGACGUCUCCUCCGUCUUGAUCCAGCAAGGAGGAAGGAGAGGUUGAGGAAGGCAGCUCCAAUGGCAGCACGACGGCGUGGUGCAGUUGGUGCAGCAGUACUCCGACAGAGCUUCGCCAAGCACGUACGGAAGAGGAGAGGUGUUGGGGAGGGGAGGGGCUGUGCCUUGGCUUGUGUAUUGCAGCCCUCCCCUCACCCCUCUAUAUAUAGGGGAAGAGGGGCAAGAGGGGCCGGCCCUCUAGAUGGAACCCUAGAGGGGGGCGGCAGUCAAGGGAGAGGGGUGGCUUGCCCCCCAAGNNNNNNNNNNNNNNNNNNNNNNNNNNNNNNNNNNNNNNNNNNNNNNNNNNNNNNNNNNNNNNNNNNNNNNNNNNNNNNNNNNNNNNNNNNNNNNNNNNNNNNNNNNNNNNNNNNNNNNNNNNNNNNNNNNNNNNNNNNNNNNNNNNNNNNNNNNNNNNNNNNNNNNNNNNNNNNNNNNNNNNNNNNNNNNNNNNNNCCCCAAACCCUAGGCGCAUGGGCCCAAGGUGGGGGCGCGCCCAGCCCACUAGGGGCUGUCUCCCUCUCCCACGCAGCCCAAGUGGCCCCCCGGGAGGGGUGGCCCCUCCCGGUGGACCUCCGGAACCCUUCUGGUGGCCCCGGUACAAUACCGGUAUGCCCCCGAAACUUUCCGGUGUCCGUUUAACAACUUCCCAUAUAUAAAUCUUUACCUCCGGACUAUUCUGGAACUCCUCGUGACGUCCGGGAUCUCAUCCGGGACUCCGAACAACAUUCGGUAAUCACAUACAAGUCUUCCUGAUAACCCUAGCGUCACCGAACCUUAAGUGUGUAGACCCUAUGGAUUCGGGAGACAUGCAGACAUGACCGAGACGCUCUCAUGUCAAUAACCAACAGCGGGAUCUGGAUACCCAUGUUGGCUCCCACAUGCUCCUCGAUGUUGUCAUCGGAUGAACCACGAUGUCAAGGAUUCAAGCAACCCCGUAUUCUAUUCCCUUUGUCAGACGGUAUGUUACUUGCCCGAGACUCGAUCGUCGGUAUCCCAAUACCUCGUUCAGUCUCGUUACCGGCAAGUCACUUUACUCGUACCGUAAUGCAUGAUCCCGUGACCAGACACUUGGUCACUUUGAGCUCAUUAUGAUGAUGCACUACCGAGUGGGCCCAGUGAUACCUCUCCGUAACACGGAGUGACAAAUCCCAGUCUCAAUCCGUGUCAACCCAACAGACACUUUCGGAGAUACCUGUAGUGCACCUUUAUAGUCACCCAGUUACGUUGUGACGUUUGGUACACCCAAAGCACUCCUACGGUAUCCGGGAGUUACACGAUCUCAUGGUCUAAGGAAGAGAUACUUGACAUUGGAAAAGCUCUAGCAAAACGAACUACACGAUCUUGUGCCAUGCUUAGGAAUGGGUCUUGUCCAUCACGUCAUUCUCCUAAUGACGUGAUCCCGCUGUCAAUGACAUCUGAUGUCCAUAGUCAGGAAACCAUGACUAUCUGUUGACCAACGAGCUAGUCAACUAGAGGCUUACUAGGGACGUAUUGUAGUCUAUGUAUUCACACAUGUAUUACGAUUUUCGGAUAAUACAAUUAUAGCAUGAAUAAAAGACAAUUAUCAUGAACAAGGAAAUAUAAUAAUAAUGCUUUUAUUAUUGCCUCUAGGGCAUAUUUCCAACAGCUUGUGAUGUUUGGAGGCGAGCUGAACUACAGGACGGAGAGGAUUGUCUUCGAUGUAGCCGAGAUCCCCUUGCCGUACAACGGGAUCCUCGGCCGCCCGGCACUAGCCAAGUUCAUGGCGGCGUCGCAUUACGCCUACAACAUGCUGAAGAUGCCUGGGCCGAUGACCAUCAUCACCGUCCCCUACGACAAGAAGGAUGCGCUGAUCUGCACCGACCUACUCUACCGGGAAGCAGUUGCAGCAGCUGCCGCUAAGGCACUUGCUCCUUCCGCUGAUGCCCCGGGAGGGAAGAAGAAGACCGGCAAGACCUCUCACACCCACUCCAGCAAGCGUGCCUCUUCGGAGUGUUGUGCUACCGUCGAGGACGUGCUAGAGAGCUCCAUUGGCAAGAGCAAGAAAUCCAGAGCUGCACCACCAGAGACCAAGAUGGUGUCCGUCAAGGAGGAUUGCACGGGAGGGACUUUCACCAUAAGCUCCACCCUCGACAGCAAAUAGGAAGGCGCGCUUGUCACCUUCCUGUGGGCGAAUCUCGAUGUGUUUGCAUGGCAAGCAUACGACAUCCCCGGUGUUCCCAGGGAGGUGAUUGAGCACCACCUGGUUGUCUGUCCUCAUGCGCGGCCCGUCAAGCAGAAGGUCAGGAAGCAGGCUCUAGAAAGGCGAGAAUUCAUCAUAGAGGAGAUCAGGAAGCUAGAAGCGGCAGGCUUGAUGAGAGGAGCGCUCCACCCGACGUGGUUGGCCAAUCCGGUUGUGGUACACAAGGCAAACGGGAAGUGGAGGCUGUGUAUUGAUUACACAGAUAUCAACAAGGCUUGUCCCAAGGACCCUUUAUCGUUGCCGCGCAUCGACCAGAUUGUUGACUCCACGGCCGGGUGUUAUCUGUUCUCAUUCCUUGACGCAUACUCAGGAAACCAUCAGAUCUUCAUGACAAGAGAAGACGAAGAGAAGACAGCAUUCAUCACCCCAUGUGGUACGUAUUGCUUUUUACGGAUGCCUUUCGGGUUGAAGAGUGUUGGCUCAACGUUUGCAAGGGCGGUCCAAAUUGGUUUUGAGCCCUAGCUACAUAGAAAUAUGGAAGCUUAUAUGGAUGACAUAGUGGUCAAAACCAAGGACAAGGCAACCCUUGUACAAGACUUAGAAGAGACGUUUGCCAAGCUACGCAAGAUCAACCUCAAGCUGAACCCUUUGAAGUGUGUAUUCGGCGUUUCGUCCGGCAAACCUCUCGGGUUCUUUGUGUUGCAGCGUGGGAUCGAGGCAAACCCGGACAAGAUCAAGGCUAUUGAGCAGAUUGAGGCACCCAAGCAGAUCAAGGAUGUGCGUCGGCUCACUGGCUGCGUUGCCGCCAUGAGGAGAUUCAUCUCCAAGCCCGCUGAGCAUGCCCUUCCCUUUUUCAAUAUCUGGAAGAAAGCGGGCCCAAUGGAGUGGACCCCAGAGGCCGAGGCAGCGUUGCCGGAUCUGAAGAAAUACCUUUCCUCUAUGCUAAUACUGGUUGCGCCUAAACCAAAAGAGCCGUUGCUGCUGUAUCUGGCGGCGACUAAUCAAGUGGUCAGUGCCGCGCUAGUGGCCCAGAGGGAGGUCGACGAAGAGGCGGUGGCAACAGCAGGCUGGCGGAUGGCGAGCCGGAGAUUCCCCUGGCAGGGCCUGAUGCCGGCAAGGUGAGGCCCCCAGCAGAGUCUGACGGCAUCAGGCCAGGGCCCAUGCAAUUAAAUGAGAUGGUGCAGAAGAAGAAGAUGAUGCAGCACCCGGUUUACUUUAUCAGCUACCUCUUCUAGGGGGCUAGGUCAAGGUACUCCGGUGUGCAGAAACUGCUCUUCGGCCUCCUUAUGGCCUCGAGGAAGCUGCGUCACUACUUCCAAGCACACGAAAUCACUGUCGUCACCCGCCUCACGUUUCAACGGAUACUGCACAACCCAGACACAACCGGAAGGAUUGUGGAGUGGGCCUUGGAGCUUUCGGUCUUUGGUUUGAAGUUUGAAAGUACUUCGACAAUCCAGAGCAGAGUCUUGGCAGAGUUCAUUGCAGAAUGGACCUCAACACCUGAUGAGGAAAUCCAGGAGACCACUCUCCCCGGCAAGGAAGAAAGUCGCGACUGGAUCAUGUACUUUGAUGGGGCUUUCUCGCUGCAAGGCGCCGGUGCCGGUGUGCUGCUUGUCGCACCCAUCGGAGAGCACCUCAAGUAUGUAAUCCAGAUGCAUUUUCCCAGGGAGAUGUCCAAAAACAACACUCCCGAAUACGAGGGGCUGCUUGCCAGUCUAAGGAUCGCAGCGGACCUCGGGGUUAAGAAGCUCAUCGUCAGGGGUGAUUCACAGCUUGUUGUCAGACAAGUUAACAAGGAUUAUCAGAGCCUGUUGAUGAAGGCCUAUGUAGACGAGGUGAGGAAGCUGGAAGAGCGCUUUGACAGUAUACAAGCAGAGCACGUUCCCCGAGCGGAGAAUGACAUUGCUGAUUACCUGUCAAAGCGCGCUGCCUUCAAACUAACUGUGAAACCAGGUACUUUUGUGCUUCGGCUAACUCAAGCAUCCAUCGAACCAUCAAUGGGGCAGAACAAGCGGAGGAAAUCAGGCCCCGACAAGUACUUUCCCGACGAGCCCCCUGGGGCCACUGGCAGGGGUAAUGCCGUGGGUGCUGAGCCUGCCGAAGGGCAGCUGGCUCCGGCAGGGUAACAAGCCCUGGCCGUAGAGACGGCCGCCCCCAUCACAGAUGAGAUGCCUUUGGUCCUCGCUGUCGAGUCCCAGGCUCCGGCAUGGGCACAUCAUACCGUCCAUUUCCUCCAGACAGGGGAACUUCCCGAGGAGCAGUAAGAAGCGAAAAAAGUAGCCCGUCGGUCUGCCUUGUACCAGUUUGUCGACGACGUCCUGUGCAGGAAACGACCGAAUGGUGUGAAAUUAAAGUGCAUCCCGGGAGGAAGGACUAGAGCUGUUGGCAGAGAUACACGGAGGCAUAUGUGGCUCCCACAUAGGGUCGAUGGCCCUUGCCGGCAAGGCAUUCCGGCAAGGCUUCUUCUGGCCCACCGCCCUCCAGGAUGCGACGGCACUAGUAAACAGGUGUGAAGCGUGCCAGAUCCAUUCGAAGAAGCUUCAUCAACCAGCUCAAGCCCUUCAAACAAUCCCUCUCUCCUGGCCGUUUUCAGUUUGGCGGCUCGACAUACUGGGCCCUUUCGCUCGCGCUGUCGGGGGCUUUGAGUACUUGUACGUUGUAAUCGACAAGUUCACAAAGUUGCCGAAGGUGGAGGCAGUGAGGAAGGUUACUGCGCAGUAAGCCGUCAAGUUCUUCAAAGGGAAAGUCUACAGUUUUGGUGUGCCAAACAGAGUCAUCACCGACAACAGCACGCAGUUCACAAGCCACACCUUCAUGCAAUACAUUCAAGACUUCGGCACCAAGGUCUGUUUCGCUUCCGUGGCACAUCCACGGAGCAACGGCUAGGCAGAGAGGGCAAAUGCUGAAGUGUUGUGAGGCCUGAGGACAAAGUCUUUUGACAGGCUGCACAAGAGUGGAAGGCGCUGGAUUGAUGAGUUACGGCGAUUCUUUGGUCGAUCAGAAUGACGCCAAAUGGAGCCACCAGCCAGACACCCUUUGCCUUGGUAUACGGGGCAGAAGCAGUUAUCCCCACGGAAGUCACAUACGGGUCACCUCGAGUGCUCGCUUAUGACGAGCUUGAGCAAGAGCAAUUGCAGCAAGAUGACACAAUGCUCCUUGAGGAAGAUCAUCUUCUGGGGCUGUGAGAGCAGCAUGCUACCAGCAAGCCUUGCGCCACUAUCAUAGCCGCAAGGUUCAUGCCCGAAGCUUUGAGGAAGGCGACCUUGUUCUUCGGCACGUUCAGUCGACCAAGAAUUCCAACAAGUUGACGCUGAAGUGGGAGGGCCCUUAUCGGGUAAUAGGAGUCACCAAGCCCGGCACAGUCUGCUUGGAGAACAAAGAUGUUGUCCCAGUGAGCAACUUCUGGUACAUCGAACAUCUUUGCAAGUUUUACCCAUAAGGCGCGGUUGCCGGGCCUCCCGGCACGCCACCUUACGUACAAGCUUUACCGGCAAGGCAUGUAACCCUCUGUACAAAGCCAGGCGCAGACCCUGAGCAUAAAGAAAUGAAGCGCUGGCGCCCUAAGUUAUAGCAUGCAUGCUAGGUUAAGUCUCUCCCUCGGUUAGGGUUGAUAGUGCUUAGCAGCGACUAACCCCUAGCCUAGAGGUCGAGUGUGCGUCUUUCUGUUCUCUUUGGUUCGCAGGGCACGUGGACACUUCUGCCGAGCUGCUUGGGAGAACGAGAAAGGACCGGCGCUCCGGUCCCGACAAGCCAAGACUACCGGGAGCUGAAGACACAAGGAUCCAACCACGGCAAGCCAAGGUUGCUGGGGGCUGCGGAUUCAGAUAAGUCUUUCAUCCCCCUGUUAUGCAUUUACGUAUAGAACUGGGACAUGUGAAACCUCGUUUAUAUUCUUAAACCACCGUGCUUCCCUUUCCCUGUACCCAAGAGCUAUCUCCUGGGUCGGAACUUGGUCGUAGUCACGGUGGCGAGGGAAUGAACGAGGGGCCUAACUCUACUUCGCCCCUGCCUCCGCCAAGAGCGCGAGAAUGGUCGACUGAAGUGGGGAGACGGCAAGGCCUGUUGCCGGGCGACAAUGUUUAUCUUAAAAAUAACAAGGAUUCGUCCUUGGCAUGGGCCUCGCUCACGCACAAAGAACCUGGCAAGCGCCCUUUUUCAUUAAAAACAUCCCAUACAGGUACAGUUCAAAUGGAAUUAAAAACAUGAGCAAGGGGAUUACAAGUCUUAAAAUUAACAAGUGCCCGCAGGCUUACAAACUAAAAAGAGAUAAGGUGCCCGUAAUCCCUUUUUUUACCCUCUCCUCAGAAGGUGGAACAAGGCAGCAGGAGGGCAAAAAGAGCGCCUAGGCAGGGUACGAGGAGCAGAAGGCACCAAGUGAACAUCUUGGUGCCGGGAAUGGAGCUGAAACACGAGGCAGCGGGCCGGCAAUACGCGACGAAGGUGUCGGUGCCCGCGUACUCCGACUUGACGGCCGCCACCCGCCUUCUUCGUCUUCUCUGGCCCUCCUAUGCCAGUCGCCCAAGGAGACGACGGGGAGCGCCCCGAUGGAGAGCUUGGCGAGGAUGGCCCUCAGUAGGGCGCGUGGCCGAGGAAGGGCGGCGCGGUCAGUCGGAGUCGGGGUCGGCAUCCCGACGCUCGACUCCCUCGUCGUCGCCAUCGUUGUCCUCCUCGUCCCUCCCGCUCGAGGAGGAAUCUUCAUUGUCGGAGGAGCUCUCCACGUAGCACUUUAGACGAGUUCCAGGAUCUCUAAAGACCUUGACGGAGAGCAGGCCGCCCUCCAUUAACUUGAAGUAGAGGACGAGCCCCACCGUCAGGCUGUGGAUGCGAGCAAACGUCUUCCAUCCGCGAUAGAGGUACAUGACGUGGGGAGCGGGGAAGUCGACGUCGAGCCACGUGUCACCGUUCCCGCAGCCCCUCAUAUGCAUCCUAAGGGUCUGGGGCGGAUCGAGCUCCAUCUCCUGAGAAAAUGGGGUGGGGAUGCGGAGACGACGACGCGGUGACCGGUGCAGCCUGAUGAAGAACUCGCGGGGCUUGUCCCUGACGUGGCCCUCCAUCGCGGGAGGCAUCACUGGCGGAGGCACGACCAUUGCGGCGCCUCUCACCCCUCUUCCCCGAGCGCCACGGCGACCUCGGCCUGGCCCCCUACCCCUUCCUCUCGUAGCCGGCUACGCCGCCGCGGGCUCUUGAGAAGGGGGAACGGGCUAUCGAGCAGCAACCCACGCCGCCACCGUCUAAGGCCCAGCACCCCCUCUCGCCAUGGCGGGUGGAAGAAAGGAGCGAAGGAGGAAGAGGAUGGAUGCAGAGAGAAUGUGGGAUGACAUCCCCCUUCCCCUCCUUAUAAAGGGGCGGGGUCGAGGCUCGGCCACCCAUUCAGCCAAUCCAACCAUCGGAGGCGCAGGGAAUCAGGACCGACCCGCUGCCCAAUCAGCGACGGUCCGGUUCCAGCCUCCAACGCCUGCCACCUGCAUGGAGGACGCGUGGCGAGCAAGCAAAAUCGAGGGGACGGGUGAGGCGACCGUUCCCUGCCCCGUGAUCGUGGGGCAUGGGCGCCUUGAAGACUGCGACCCGGGUCCACUCAGUAAAUGAGCCGCGCCUCCACGCCUUCCUCUUUUUAUGGGGAAGGUGCGAGCCGCCUCUUUACCACGAUGUGAUGUAUGCAUGCGGGAACCGUCCCACACACGACCCCCACGUCAUGCACGACCCUACACGUCGUGCGGGUCGUGGAGAAGCGCAACGGACGAAAUAGUUACCACGGAGAAAAUCCCACCCCGACUGCUCGCGCACCGUUUUGGGCCAGGCCCAACAACGUGUCGCACUUAUGUGUGGCCCAGGCCCGGGGGCUCCUGCCGAUGGACGAAAGUAGGGGCACUCCUUUUUACCCCUUUACUUGUGCACGGACAGUCGGAGUCGCGCCCACAGACACAUUAAGCAGGGCAGGGGAGGGAAACCGGAGAGAAGCCGAAGCAAAAGACAACCAAAGCAACGCCAAGACCAGAAACACGGCAGAGCAAGAGGGCGAGGUAGGCUCCCUCGGCAAGAUCCUUGCCGAGGCAGCCUCCGCAGCCCCGGCAAAAGCCUUGCUGGGGUAACUUGCCCGAUGUCAGCAGAGUGAGCCAUCCUUGAGCCCAUGGGUCCCAACACCACCAACUACAUUGGAACCAAGGCUCGGGAGGCACCGUCGUGGUGGCAUGCAGAUAUUUGUCAAGAUCAUAAACAUGUGGGACCAGAUGAGGACCAGAAGGCGGCAAGACCCUCGCCGGGGACGACUGCUACGCCACGGCAAGACCCUUGAUGGGCCCCCGGCAAGACCCUUGCCGAAGGCGUCAGCAGGACCACUGCCUGCCCGCGCCAGCCAAGACUCCGCCGCCGUUCGCAUGCAGCUGCCAGCCCAACCAGCUGGGCACGCACCUGCGUGGCAACAUGCGGCUUCCAGGCCAACUCAGCAAGCACCUGCGUGGUGGCAUGCAGAUCUUCGUGAGGACCCUGCCACUGCGCCACCUCAGCAGCCUGCCUACCUACAUGGCACUGGACACAUCGCUGGCCUGGGCGCGUGUCGAAGCGAGGCGGAGCGGCGACGGACGGGACGGGUCUCGUUCCCGUCCCCAAUAAAGCUAAUGGACACGUAAGUAGCGCAUUUAAUGCGCUUUGUCCUGCAAUGCCGGGCGAUAAGCUAGCACACUAUAGACCUUUCCACCUCUCGUGUGCCACUGUGGCAACCCCUUUUUGCCUAUAAAAGGAGGCCCGAGGCGACGAGGAGAGGAAUUUGGCUGUAUUGGGCAGGUUACACCCCGUAGCUAGCUCAAGAACAUAAGAACACUCAAGUACAUCCACCAAAGCAGGACUAGGGUUUGACGCAUCCUCGCGGCCCGUAUCUGGGUAAACGACUCGUGUGCUUCCUGUCAAAGCAGCUCUUUGCACAACCUCGCACCGGCCGACCGUAGAAGAGAUCCCAGUGACCCCAUAGGUGUCGUUCCCACAGACAACAUCCAUAAGGAAUUGUGCAAAAGGAAGGAUAAAAUAUAGUCGAUGCAGUGAUCAGAUUGUUCAAUUUUCAGAACAGAAAACCAAAUAACCCAACUCAAUCCAACAGCUGUACUGAAAUGCCUACUCAUAGACAUAGUAGUUGGUAAUGCGGGUUGACACCGCGUCCCGUGCCCCGGGUUCAUCGACCACAGUUGAGGGUCGGAGUCGAGUGUGGGUCCAUAGGAUUGAGUGAAUUGCAGAAAACAUCGACAUUGAAGGCUAGGGUUGCACAAACCAUAAUUUUACAGUUUUGUGGGAAAAACCACUAAUUCUGAGGCUUGUUUUUUGUGUGCAAAAACACUAGUCGCCGGCUUAGGCCGUUAUGAGGAUGAUUAUGACAGGUGGGUCCCACUGAACAAGGUGACGUGGCAUGACAUAACUAAUCGCAAAUAGACAGAAAAUGUUAGACUAUACUGCGAAAGGGACAAAGAGGUUAAGGUGGUGAUGUUAAUUAAAAAUUAGGAUAAGAUCUGACUCGUCCUUCCUCUCCCCAGUGCCCAGCCGUGCGCACGAGCUUCCGUCUCCAUGACACCCCGCCUCCUUCUCCUAUGCCCCUCGCCUCCAUCUUCCUCCCGCCCCCCGACCUCGGCCUCGCCUUGCUGCUCACCUUCAUCGGUGCUGGCGAGGUGAAGAGGAGGCGCGACGGCGGCCCGCAUAGGAGUGGUGAGGGACGGCCAAAUCCACUCACGGUGGGCAUGGAGGUGCGGGCAAUAUGCUUGAUAGUGAGCUCCGCCGUUGCGGAUGCCCUUCCUAUUUCUCCCAUAUAUUCCUCCGACGAGCAAAAUCUUUGUGAUGCGUGCCACCGCAUGCAGGAACCAUGCCGUCAAGCUCAUCCAGGGCCGCCCGAUGCUCAAGCCGCCGCCGCCGGAGGUCCAUUACUCUGCCGUUCUAACCAACAACACCGUCGUAGUGCACACUAUACAAUGGAGAGAGAGAGAGAGAGAGAGAGAGAGAGAGAGAGAGAGAGGUGGUUACUGGGGCGGAUAGAGACAACGGGGAGCGCGAGGAAGAUGGAGGCGGCGGACAGCGAGGGCGACCGGGAAGCCGGGGACGUUGGAGGCGGCGAGCGUGAUGGUGCCGAUGUCGAAGGCCGCCAUGACGAUGGCGGCGGCGGCAAUGCGAUGGCGUGGGGGAGAAUUUUUUUGGUUGGAUAAGGUGUGUGCGGCUUGGGUUAUGGAUAAGGUGGUACCGACCAGUGACGGGCAUUAGUAAGUACCCCCCAUAGAUAGCUACCUUCAAGUUGCGGGUGACAGAAAGCACCCGGCACAGCUAAGCUUUUGAACCACAUCCUACCACUCUAAAGUCACUUUCAUAAAACAUUUGAACUUCAAUUUUUUUCUUUGAUUAAUACACACUAUACAAAGACCCGUGCUCAAAUUUGGCCACUUUUUGGGUUGGUCUCCUAGUUUUGAGACAUGAACUAAUUUUCCGGUCACUAGACAGGGCAAAACGAUCUUCGGUAUGAAAUAGUGUGCAAACAAGCUCUCAAAGGGAUGAAACUGGACAUGGUGUCCUGAUUGGAACAUUGGAGGGUGUGCUACUAAUUUGGGAGAGUUCCGGAAAAAACAUGACACACCUCUUGUACAAACCAAAUAAUCUUCACCGAAGUGUAAUGGUUUUGAACGGAUUUUUUAAAUCAUCUGAACUUGAAACUUUUUCUAUGAUUAAUAAACACCAUCCAAAGCAUAGUCCCCAAAUAUGGCCACUUUACCGGUUGGUCUGCUGUUUUUGAGACGUUAACUGAUUUUUCGGCUACUGGAAAGGGCAAAAAGCUUUGAGCGUGCAAACGGGCUCAGAAAGGGAUCAAACUUGACUUGGUAUCUUUGUAAUACCCGUACAUGAUGUGAUAAAAUUUUGAAAUCAUUACGACAAAAACUUGAUACAUUUCAUGUACAAACUAAAAACUCUCCCAUGAAGUGUAAAGGUAUCGAACGGAAACCACCACCUUCCAGACGCUACUACAUUUAUUUAAAUCAUUUGGACUUCAAACAAUUUUCAUUAGUAAUAAACACCAUCCAAAGCCACAAGCUCAAAUUUGAGACUAUUCUAGGUUUAUUAAAUACUAUUUUCUUUGGUUUUUGAGGAACUAACAUAUGUGUGGCGGACAGCUCAUAGGGACCGCCACAGCUCACUUCUGGAUUUUUUUUUAUUUCUUUUGGAGCAGGUUACUGAAAUAUUGUUGCGGCGUGCAUAAAGUUGGGGCACCACUUUUGUGGGACAUACCAGUGGCUGGCAACUCUACCAUGCCCGCCAGUGCUUACUUUAAUCAUACGGGCAAAAUUUCAAAAAACUUACGAGUGGUGUGUCAGUAUUGCUGCCCGCCACGGCUGUUGUGAUUUUGGUGGCGAGCUUCUAUUUCUACCCGCCACUGCAACUUUUCCAAAAUAGCAGUAGUGGGUUUCCAGCCAUGCCCGCCACUCAUUUGGGUUCCCAGUAGUGCAUUAGUGAAUCUAUGCAAAUUUUAUUAUAUAAAUGCAAAAAGACAUAAAAUGAGAAUCACCUUAUUUGUGAACGUAGACGUCAUUAAUUCCACAAGAUAUGAAAUGAACAUUAAUAUUUAUAGAUUAAUUGGAGAUGGAUACAAAAAGGCUAAAGCUUUAGUAGCCAGGAGAUCUCAAACGAGCAUACCACAUUUAUUAACAUUACACAUAUUAAUAUUAGGAUAUCCAAGCUGGGCAUCAAUGUAUUUGUUAAUAUUGGACAAUAAUCAAUUGGACAUCCAUUAUUAAGUUGUAUUGCAUUAAUGAAUCUAAUAAAAUUAAAUGAGCAUCAAUACCGUGAGAUACAAAAUGAGCAUUGAUUUUCAUGGACUGGGGACGAAUACACAAAUGCAUAAGCCUUAGUAACCAGGAGAUCCCAAACGAGCAUACUACAUUUAGUAACAUUACACAUAUUAAUAUGAGGAGAUCCGAACUGGGCACUAUUGUAUUUCUGAAUUUAUUGGACAAUAAUCAUGACAUCCAUUAGCAAGUUGUAUUACAUUAAUGAAUCUAAGAAAACUAGAUAUAGUAUAUAAAUAGAAGAACACAUAAAAUAAGGAUCAACUUAUAUACGACGAUAUGGAGGGCAUUAAUGCCAGUAGAUCCAAAUUGAGCGAAUGUCACUAUGUGAAUUUAUUGGACAAUAAACGUUUGGAUACACAUCAUCCAGUUGUAUUGCAUUGAAGUAUCUAUAGAAAAUAAAUGUAUAUAAUAUUAUAACAUAUUAAAUGAGAAUCAACUUAUUUGUGACUAUAGGGGUACUAAUACCACGAGAACAAGAAGAGGCAUUAAUACCGAAGAUCCAAAGUGAGCACUAAUACCACAAGAUCCAAAAUGAGCACUAAUACUCAUAGAUUACUUACAGGAGAUCCAAAACAAGCACACCACAUUUAUGAAAAUUACACAUCAUAUUAAUAUAAGGAUAUGCAAAAUGCAUCAAUUUUACCAUCAAAACUUAUUUGAGAAUAAUCAUUUUGAUACCCAUGAUCAAGAUGUUCGCAUGUGUGAACCAAUGGACAUUCGAUAUAUAAAUAUGAGAAGAUUUAAAAUGAAAAUCGGCUUAUUUUUAAAUAGAGAGGUCAUAUACCAAGACAUCCAAUGUGAGCAUUAGUACCAUGAUAUCGAGAGAGAGAGAGAGAGAGAGAGANNNNNNNNNNNNNNNNNNNNNNNNNNNNNNNNNNNNNNNNNNNNNNNNNNNNNNNNNNNNNNNNNNNNNNNNNNNNNNNNNNNNNNNNNNNNNNNNNNNNNNNNNNNNNNNNNNNNNNNNNNNNNNNNNNNNNNNNNNNNNNNNNNNNNNNNNNNNNNNNNNNNNNNNNNNNNNNNNNNNNNNNNNNNNNNNNNNNNNNNNNNNNNNNNNNNNNNNNNNNNNNNNNNNNNNNNNNNNNNNNNNNNNNNNNNNNNNNNNNNNNNNNNNNNNNNNNNNNNNNNNNNNNNNNNNNNNNNNNNNNNNNNNNNNNNNNNNNNNNNNNNNNNNNNNAACCAAAAUGAGAAUUAAUAUACAUCGAUUGGCCAUGAAUAAACAAACGCACGAGCAAUAGUAACAGGAGAUCCCAAACGAGUAUACUGCAUUUAUGAAAACCCACUAGAUGCAUUAUAAAUAAAUCUCGAUCCAAUGUAAAUCACCUACAUCCAUCUAGCUCUGCAGUGCAUAUCCUUCUAUAUACAUUUAUCUCUACCUAUUUUUUCUUGAGUACAGUUUGGGGGUUCUAGGUAGCCUUGCACCAAUGGCGACAACUUUGAAGUCCUCCAUCAUCUUCUCUGCUAGUGUAUUCAUGCUCCUUUCCAUGGCCAUAACCGCUAAGGCCAAUGUCUCUAGUGGUGCAAGGGCCAAGGUGACCAACCUCAUGAUGCAAGCAUGCAAGAAUGCAUCAGCCUACAGUCGUGAUGGCGACCUCCGUAGCGUCACACAGGAAUUUUGCUUAUCGACCCUGCAAUCGGACAAUCGGAGUGUUGAUGCUAAGGACCACCUUGAACUGGUGCUCAUCACGAUUGACAUCCUUAAAGGCCGCCUCACUACUGCAACUCACAAUGUCGAGAAAAUGCUAGAACAUUCUAAGAAAGGCACAAUGACUGCACGCGAC
rnacentral:lncRNA from 1 species